CUUUGUCGAUGGAGCAGCCAGCCGACCGUCUGGAUGCAGGCCCAACUCGCAGUGCUGCCCAAACAGCAAAUUCUGUCCCAAGGGCAAAUACUGCACCGUUUGCACGAAGAGCUAUCCGCCUUCGUGCUUUUGCACGAAGGCCCCUCCAAACUGCGGAGUAGGCAGUAGCUGCUGCAGUGACGGGGACUGCCCAAAGGGAAGAGAAUGCAGCGUAUGCACUAGAUCGAUCCCACCUAUUUGUCGCUGUGGCGCUAAGCGUAAGCUCGUUCUUGUUUCCGAAUGAAGCACGCUAUCAAGUGUGUGAUGGUCAACCCUGUUGACUGUGUAAUAAAAGAUCUUCCAUAAUGAUAAUGUGUGGCUAUGUUUAUAGAUGUCAAUGGAGCAGGUUAUAGAUUUUGAGCUUCGGAUAGAUUGCUUUCUGCUAGUUUUCUCUCUGUCGACCUUUGGAAGGGAUGGAACAAAGGGUUGAGCUCUUAAAGUUAACACAGUCAAUCAUUGUCAAUAAAUGGCUUGAAAGUUGGACUACUAUUCUAGGAAACACUCUUCAAAAUGCUUCCAAGACUUCCCAUUUCCAAGGCUUCCCAUUGGUUGGAUACCAGAUCAUUCCAUGGGUUGAUCCAUGUUUCUUUUCAAUUGCACUUUGUUUGCUCAUAUCUUAUAUCUUACUUGUAUAUGGAUGCUCUCAACAAACAAUCUGAAUGGUUUAAAUCUAUACAUAUAAAGCGAUAGUGGGGAGGUUCGCCGGCCGUUGGAUCCCAGGCCCAGGCCAAGGUCAGUAGCCAUGGUUGCGAGAAAUUUUUCUGGUGUUUGCUCUCGGCCAAUAGGAGGUGGCCAAGCUGUGUGGGGUGGGAGAAGAAGGCACAGCGACAUGUGUCACAUGCAAGUGUCUUUCCUAUCAUCAUCCAAACUUUUUUUGUUGAGAUCUUUUAAAUUUUCCUGCAGAAAUCGCCCCGUCGCUCCUGAUGUGGAGCGCUGUGGCUUUAGGGAAAGGGCAAGAGAGCGAUGCACUCGAGUAAAUGGCCAGUGAAGCUGUGGCUCCCGGAUCUCCCAGACAGAGAUCUUCCACUCAGAGAUCUCCUGCUCAAUCGCCACAGCAAUCCCCGCAGAAAUAGGCACCAGCAGCAGAUCCAGAGCUACAGUCUCGCCACCGUCACUCCCGGCAUGAAGGAUCUCCACCCCUGCUUUAGGGAAAGGGCAUAGCUCUAGAGGAGAGCGAGUAAAUGGCCAGUGAAGCUGUGGCUCCCAGUCCCCGCGCUUGGCCCUCCCGAGCCCCCAGUGGCAGCAGCUGCGCCUCCACCAGCAACAACAGAGGUGUUGAGAAGAAUGCCAUGGAGGACGUUUUCUCUGGACGAGGGGGGUGGUGCGAUGACACUUGGUGGUUUUCAGCCUCCAAAAGACAUGGUUUUUACGUUGUCUGAUAGGUAUUCUUUCAUUCUUUCUGACUUUGUUAGAGUUGAGAUGCAUUAGUUUUCCUAUCAUCCCAGUUUUUUUCUUCUGGUUGCGGCCAGGCAUGGUUGGCGGGAAAUUUUUCUAAUGUUAGCCUAGGAGACCACCACAGCUCCGGUGCUCAUUGGCUCUGAGCGAGGCAAGACAGGCAUCGAACAUAUGUCACCAGUGGUGUCCUGCCCCUGUGCCCGGUCUUUUUAGCUCGCCCUAGAUGCCCUGCUGCAAUCGAGUUAACGCUUGCUUGCCGGAUCAGUGGCAAUCGCAGCAAUUGCACUUCUUCUUGCUGAGAUCUAUGUUCAGCAUCAGGCCAGCGGCUACUAAUUUGGCCCCCAACCACAACAAUCUAAAUUUUUUUGUGUUUUUGGGUUUGUGGAUGCCAAGCAGUAGAGCUGGAGCCAGAGCUAGCCUUCAACGCAACCAGAACCAUUAGAAAGUUUGCAGUCCUUAUUCUUCUGCAAGAGAGAACAAGCCCAAGGUGAGUUCUCGAACUUGCAAACCCCACCCACCUCUCAUGGCUCAAGUGUCAUUGUAUUCUAAAAAGCAUAGGAGGCUUUUUGAGUGCUCACCACACCUUGGCCUAUGUCUAGGUUUUGUUGCUUACUAAAUUAGUGUUAAUCAAACAGCAAACAUAGGUAAACUCAGCAAACCUCUUGAAAUGGCAUGAAAUUUGCCAGCCACCCAGCAUUUGUUGGGUAAUUGUUAGUAAGUAUAUAUAGCUGGACUGGCUAAAAAAGAAUAGUCAUUUAGACAACAAUUAAUGCAAUCAUACUUCAAACACCUAGAUAUCAUUCUUAGCUCAUGGUCCCACAUUUUUCAUGUUGACUUGGCAAGCAUGCAAAGAGUUGAGAUGGCACGCAUGCAAAUAUAUCUGUAUAGAGUAGCUAUCUAGCUCUCUAGUGAAAUCCCAAUGAAUUAAUUAUAACUUUGUAUACAGCUCUCAAAUAUUCAAACCAACCAUAUAACCAUAAUUUUGAACCAAAAUAAAAGACUUUAAGAGCUAUUAUAUGUGAGACACAAAAUCCCUAAGCCCCAAAGUGGAGCUGGAACGGUGCCAUGUGGUGGUGGCCAAAGUCAAAACCAAACGAGCGUAACACAUUUGGACUAAAAGCUCCAACUUGAAAAGGUCGAAAGUGGGAGUGGAACUCCCAACGAAGUGCUCAAGGAAUGAGCACAAAGCGAGCAAUAAACAAGGCUCCAAAAAGGGACCCAAAAGGACCAACAUAUGAUACGUGGAAGUGUCCAAGAUAGACCCGAGAUGGACCCGAGUUGGAGUCCAAAGUGGAGUCUGAAGUGGAGUCCGAGAAGGACCCAAGAUGGAUCCGAGAUUGAGUCCGAGACGGACCCGAGAUGGAGUCCGAGAUGGACCCGAGAUGGAGUCCGAGAUGGACCCGAGAUGGAGUCCGAGAUGGAGUCUGAGAUGGAGUUCGAGAUGGACCCGAGAUGGAGUCCGAGAUGGAGUCCGAGAUGGACUCGAGAUCUAGUCCGAGAUGGACCUGAGAUGGAGUCCGAGAUGGACCCAAGAUGGAGUCCGAGAUGGAGUCCGAGAUGGACCCGAGAUGGAGUCCGAAGUCGAGACCGAGACCGGGACCAAGACCAGGACUGAGACCGGGACCGAGACCGAGACCAAGAUCGGGACCGAGCCCGAGCCCGAGUCCGAGUCCGAGUCCGAGUCCAAGUCCGAGUCCGAGUCCGAGUCUGAGUUCGAGUCUGAGAGGGUGAAAGCCCAAAGCGUUCGUCUCCCAAACCCUGGGGGGUUUGGUGAGCUCCAAAAGUAUAGUUGGGGGUUGGAGCCCAGUGGAGCCAGUUGGGCCAGGAAAGGCCAGUUUGGCCCAGGAAAGGCCAGUUUGGCCCAGGAAGGCCAGACCCAGUGUUGGGUGAUGAGCUGACCACUGGGAAGUCCAAGACUAGAGUGAACACGGACCGACAAGCGGGGUAACUUGGUGAAGUGUUCAAGAGCCGGCUCUAGUUCCCCCGAGAGAUCAAUUGGCCGAUGCUCCCAAUCCAAGUGUGGGUGGCACUACCUACUUGGAUACCAGGCAUGGCUCAACGGAACCUCGCUCUAAGCCCAUGGCUAGAGCACCCAGAGGCGGAAGGCGGGGAGAGUACCCAGGUGGCUCGCGUAAGGCCAUGGUGUUCCGAAAUGUUGUCCCAAAGGCCCAAACUGUGGAAAGGAAGAGGAGUAGUCCUCUGGGGUACUGACCAAGGACACAGUCGUGUGGUGAGGAAGUCCCAGAGGACCGUGGGACUUAGUGGUUAGGCAUGUGGGCCUCGAUCCAGUGGCAGUUUUGGCAAACACGGCCAAGGGCAGAAAGGGACUUAGUGGGGACUGACAGAGGGAUAUUGGGGAAGGCUAUUCCCCUUGUCGGUGGGCAUCCUAAGGAUGCUAAGGAGUGGAUCUGAGAUGACCACUCAUGGAUGGUUUGCCUAGUCUUGGAGAGCCAAAACUGUGAUGCAAGUGGUAUUGGACUACCAGUGUGGCAAAGGUGAUUGGGUAUGGCCUUAGCGUAACAGGCUGCCAUGUCGGUGGUACCUUUGAGUGUCAGUCAUGGGAUCGGACACGUGGAGCACUUGGACCAAGUGCAAAUGUUGAGUGGCAUGGAUGCCAUUCUUGGGGCUAGCAAGUCCCAAGUCCUGAAUUGGACUUAUGGAGGUUGUGAAUGAGACUCCUCCAAGUGGUCGGUGGUGUGGCUAAGUGAUUAAAGUAGAAUGGAAAAAUUAGUCGCUUACAACUUGGUAUCGGAGCUGUUCCUUAGUCCGACUUUUAUUGGUGCUCAAGUAUAUCACCACUGGUGUUUGCAUCGGAAGGUCCGAAGAGUGGGCCUAUCCUUGAGGAGUAGCAGGUCGAGAAGACAUGGCUCUCCAUUAUAGUUCAUGUGUGAACUCGUAGGUGAGGUGGUGGAUAGAAAAGGGCCAAUAAUAGAACGACUUUGGGAUCUUGGGAACAAUAUAAGGGUUUCCUCAGAGAGCUAAGGAUGUGAUCCAGAUGAGUGUUUGACGCAGCAAAUGAGCUAAUGUAGUUGUGGUAAACAACUAUAGUUGGGAUCACGGGAAAGAUGCAGACUCCAAAACAAUAAAGGAGUCACAAGAUUACCUUAAUAUGGUUGAGGCUGGUACUCAUAAAUUUGAGACCGGAAUUGUUGACCGUGGGAGGUCAAAUACGGAAGAGGACACAAGUCCUUGAAAUGGUAGCCAGGGCUAGCUCUAAUAAAUGCUGGAACAACCCAAGGAGUUGGGGGUGUACUCAGAGGAUGAGUUGGUAUUCUCAUCAUAUGGACAAGUGGUCCUAAGGGGCAAAAGGUUGCCCCAAGAGAACAAAUCAAGUGUCGGAGUAACACUUGCAAAGAUGGUCCUUGUGAGCAGGACUUGAAUACAAGAAGUUGUAUUCUAACGAGUUGGCACCUUGAAGACUAAGACCUCGUAGGUCGUUAGAUUAGCAAAGUCUAAAAUGCUGGAUGACUUAAGUGGAGUCAGGGAAUGGCCCUAAGGGAUUGGUUGAAACAUUUGGAUUGAGGUGUAUGGUGCCCCAUGAGGUAUGGGGAGGAUCAUAAGAUCCAAGGAUGAGAAUAAUAGGUAUCUCAUUGAUGGCAGAAUGUGCCAUGCUAAAGUCGUGGGAAAGAUGUUCCCAAAAGAAAGCAACUUUGGCCCAGAGUUGGGUGCAAACACUAUGGUGCAAUGCUAAUGGAUAAUUAGCAUAAGAGACAACCAUAUUAGUCUUGGCAAAAAGACCUAGACACAAGUAAAAAGUGUCAUAAAGGUAAGCUCGUGGAACCGAUGGUGUGGAAACACCGAAGGUGCCAAGGCGUGCUGCCUUGAGGUUAAGUUGGCGGGUUCAUGAGAACCCCGUCCAAAGGAAUCCCAAUGGAAAUGGGAAUGGCAUAGCCUAAGCUAGAAGGCAUGCGGUUAAAGUGUGGUGACUCAGAUAAUGAUGGAGGUGUGGAAGCACCAGCAAUAAGUUGUAGGACUUGACAACUAUGAGGAAACUAAACAAAACGUGCAAAAUAAUUCGUUAAACUGGUAGAAGGUAACUACCUAAGACUUUUAUUGGGAUACAGGAGUUAGAUAUACCCUUAUAAGGGAUAAAUUGCUUAUGUUGUGACAUAGUAAGUCAAUGUCGAAAAGAAAAUGCUCAUUGUGAGAGAGGCCAUCAUUGGGACACCCAAACACUCUAGAACACCAGAAAGGGGCAUUUGGUGUCAUGAGGGCAAUGGAUAAUGCCCAAGGGACAAAGUCCCUAGCGAAUGAAGGAUAGGAGGUGCUAUCCAAAUGUCCAAGGUUGUGGAGAUGGGAGGAGUUCGUCUACCCAAAUUAGACAAAGCCAAAAACAGGAUUUUGGCAAGGUUAGUGAUGGGCAUAUAAAGGUCCAUAAGUAGCAACAGUGAUCCCAAUGUGUGGGAUUACAAGGUGAGCAAACCCGGAUUGAAAAACCACUCCCUAGGCUAUCGGGUAGGUUCAUCCUUAUGAAUACUUGCCAAAGCAUGGUAGAAAGUGCAAAGUUAUCUUCCUAGUCUGGAGGAGAAUAACCGAAGGAAAUGUAUGAGGCCAAAAGGCAAAUAGUAUAGAGAUAGAACCGAACCAUAGGAAUUGACAAGCAUGACCAAGGGUGGUUAUGCAAGUUGGGAGUGGAGAAUCAAAUGGGUGCUCAAGCAUGUUGUUACUAGCGACUGGGAUGCCAUGGAGAGUCUAAAGCAUGGGAUUGUCCAUGUUAAACUAUAUGGUAAUUGGAAAGCUUGCGAAAGGAGAGGUCUUAGCAAGCUAAGGAACAGAGUUCCUUGAACGUUCCCCUAGGUAGAUAAGUACCUAGUCAGCCAAGUAUAAAUGGUUCAUAGAAUGCGCGAAAUCAGAGUGGCACAACAGAAGCGUGGUCUUGAAGCUUGCCAUGAGGCGAGGCUAUCAAGGUUGGGGAAGUAGUUCCCAAGUGUUCAAAGAGAAGGCUUUGAACGAAAGUCAAUGGUUAAGGACUUUCACGCUUAUGCAUGAACCAUGUUACGGUGGCCGAAUGACUUGCUAAGUGAGAUUGGCAAGUUGGGGGGAAUGAAUACCCUAGUUGAAGGAGCCAACUUCAAAGGGGUGGCCCAGGGGGCCAAGCAUGGAGGAGUCCAUACAUGAUCACAGACAUGUCAAGUGAGAGGACUUGGCAGUGCGGAGGAACUAGGUUCCUAAGCUGUGAUUUGUAGCGCGCUUUAAAUAAAAGUUGGUGCACCAGCGUGGGGAGUCACGCCAGGCAUCCUGGGUGAUGCCAUCCGUAGAUGCAUAUACGGAGGUUGGGUUCAAGUCCCGACCCUCUAGUGCUUGGGUUCGAGUCCCAACUCACUAGGGCAUGGUGAUGGUUUGGAAUAUGAGGACACUCAUAUUUCGGUGGUCAUAGACUCUCAGUGGGGAGACUGGUUUGGGCACACUGCUAAGCGAGGGAUGCCUCGGAGUCGUGAUGCACGGUUAGAUUGCUUAGUGUGAAAGCUCGACAUAUCUAACUUGAACAUUUUGGUGCAAGUGGCACCAAGGACGUGGUGAGUGAGAUGGGGACACCUAAUCUCAGUUGCUAUGAACCCUUGGCCGUAAGGGCUGGCUUGGGUGCACCGCUAAGUAUGGGGGAUGCCCUCGGGGUUAUGGUCAACAAUUUGAAGGUCUAGAAGACCAAAUACCUCUUGGCAACUCUGUUAAGGUGCUAAGGUGAGAUCACUAGGUUCUAGGUGAUCUUAUUGCCAAAUAAAGACAAGGUCCUUGGUUGGCUAAAGAAUGAAGUUCCUGGUUCAAAAUGUUGAAUUGAACUGUUUAAGAUGGUGUGGCUUGGUCAUGAUGAUCAAGUGGGAAGAGCACCUAAGGGAAAUAAACUAUGUCCAUGCGAUGGCAUAGUGAGUCCGAGGAAAGUAGUCUCUAUAAGAGACCCAUGGGAGGGUCACGAAGUUGGGCCGUGGAUAAAACCCAUAGCAGAAGAUGCUAAAGAGACGUACUAGGGGUGAACAUCCUUCGGACUUAGCAAAGAAGAGUCUUUACUAUAGAACCGAAGGGAUACAUCAAAAAUGGAGGUAGCAAUCCUAUGUUGCUGGGUGCAACAAUCAAGGAUAGGAGCAAAGGACUAAUGGCCAAGUUUGGGCCAUGGAAUUUAAUGGAAGGGAUCCAAAUAGCAAAGUUAGCCAAGGAACACUAAUGUGUUUGAUGCUAACGGCUUGUGGAAAGGAAGUGGACUUCCAAGGAUGGAUUCUUAAGUGUUCCAAUUUGGCGAAGUAAAAGCUCCAAGUGAGGGAGCGGCAAAGCAGCCAAAAGAUAGGGCCGUGGACAGCCCUAGCACAAAUUAUGAUAACCGAAACUUAGUGCCAAAGGUGGCACGAAAUCGAAGAGAGGAUGAUGUUGCCCUCGAGUAGAGGACUUCCUAGGAUGGGGAAGUGGAGUUGCACAAUAUGUGCAAUGCAAGGUGUCAAAGACACCCAGGAAAUUAACUUCAAGAAGUCAGAAUUAAAAGUUCUAAAGUGCAAGGGUUAUAUCGGUGGAAAUUGAGACUACUCGAGAAUGAGUAGUGGGAUUGAGUUAAAGAAGGUGUCUUUAACAUGUUUUGCAAAAACUCAACCAAUAAAAGGAGAAGACCACCACAAGUGGUCGAAUGAGCCUCUAAGUUGGAGAGGCUAUGCUCCUUAGGGGAUGGACAAGGAAUGGUGAGCCUUUGGUGUCAAACCAUAGACAAAUAUUGGCUGGGUACCAAGGAUGGAAAUGGUAACACGUGCGGGUGUUACUUUAUGAAAGGGUUUACUGUUCAAUGAGGACAUCGAACUUCGUCUAUAGGUGGUGGAGUUGUGAGACACAAAAUCCCUAGGCCCCAAAGUGGAGCUGGAACGGUGCCAUGUGGUGGUGGCCGAAGUCAAAACCAAACGAGCGUAACACAUUUGGACUAAAAGCUCCGACUUGAAAAGGUCGAGAGUGGGAGUGGAACUCCCAACGAAGUGCUCAAGGAAUGAGCACAAAGCGAGCAAUAAACAAGGCUCCAAAAAGGGACCCAAAAGGACCAACACAUGACACGUGGAAGUGUCCAAGAUAGACCCAAGAUGGACCCGAGUUGGAGUUCAAAGUGGAGUCCGAAGUGGAGUCCAAGAAGGACCCCGAGGUGGAGUCCGAGGUGGACCCAACAUGGAUCCGAGAUUGAAUCCGAGACGGACCCGAGAUGGAGUCUGAGAUGGACCCGAGAUGGAGUCCGAGAUGGAGUCUGAGAUGGAGUCCGAAAUGGACUCGAGAUGGAGUCCGAGAUGGAGUCCGAGAUGGACUCGAGAUCUAGUCUGAGAUGGAGUCCGAGAUGGACCCGAGAUGGAGUCCGAGAUGGACCCAAGAUGGAGUCCGAGAUGGACCCGAGAUGGAGUCCAAAGUCGAGACCGAGACCGGGACCAAGACCGGGACCGGGACCGGGACUGAGACCGAGACCAAGAUUGGGACCGAGCCUGAGCCCGAGCCCGAGUCCGAGUCCGAGUCCGAGUCCAAGUCCGAGUCCGAGUCUGAGUUCGAGUCUGAGAGGGUGAAAGCCCAAAACGUUCGUCUCCCAGACCCUGGGGGGUUUGGUGAGCUCCAAAAGUAUAGUUGGGGGUUGGAGCCCAGUGGAGCCAGUUGGGCCAGGAAAGGCCAGUUGGGCCAAGAAAGGCCAGUUUGGCCCAGGAAGGCCAAACCCAGUGUUGGGUGAUAAGCUGACCACUGGGAAGUCCAAGACUAGAGUGAACACGGACCAACAAGCGGGGUAACUUGGUGAAGUGUUCAAGAGCCGGCUUUAGUUCCCCCGGGAGAUCGACUGGCCGAUGCUCCCAGUCCAAGUGUGGGUGGCACUACCUACUUGGAUACCAGGCGUGGCUCAACGGAACCUCGCUCUAAGCCCAUGGCUAGAGCACCCAGAGGCAGAAGGCGGGGAGAGUACCCAGGUGGCUCGCAUAAGGCCACGGUGUUCCGAAAUGUUGUCCCAAAGGCCCAGACUGUGGAAAGGAAGAGGAAUAGUCCUCUGGGGUACUGACCAAAGACACAGUCGUGUGGUGAGGAAGUCCUAGAGGACCGUGGGACUUAGUGGUCAGGCCUGUGGGCCUCGAUCCAGUGGCAGUUUUGGCAAACACGGCCAAGGGCAGAAAGGGACUUAGUGGGGACUGACAGAGGGAUAUUGGGGAAGGCUAUUCCCCUUGUCGGUGGGCAUCCUAAGGAUGCUAAGGAGUGGAUCUGAGAUGACCACUCAUGGAUGGUUUGCCUAGUCUUGGAGAGCCAAGACUGUGAUGCAAGUGGUAUUGGAGUACCAGUAUGGCAAAGGUGAUUGGGCAUGGCCUUAGCGUAACAGGCUGCCAUGUCGGUGGUACCUUUGAGUGUCGGUCAUGGGAUCGGACAUGUGGAGCACUUGGACCAAGUGCAAAUGUUGAGUGGCAUGGAUGCCAUUCUCGGGGCUAGCAAGUCCCAAGUCCUGAAUUGGACUUAUGGAGGUUGUGAAUGAGGCUCCUCCAAGUGGUCGGUGGUAUGGGUAAGUGACUAAAGUAGAAUGGAAAAAUUAGUCGCGUACAUUAUAGUCAGUAAAGUACCAUUAUAACAAACAAUACAUCAUGUCUCUAAAUCUAUUUAUUAAUGAUCCUCUAUCACUAACUCAAACUUAAGACUAUUACUAUUGCACUUUCCCCUUAGUCAAUAUUUGAGACUUGUGUUAACUUAGACUCAUAACCAUUAUCCUCAUCCAACAUUGCACAUGGGCAGUUAGAUUCACUCCAUUUGUUCCUCUUUAUCCCCUCCUUGAAAGAAAAAGAAGUUCUGAAACAUUAAUUUUGUUUGGACUUGUUAUGCUCAUCCUCACUCUACUAUUUAUGUUCAACCUCACUCCACUAUUGCAUCUGUUCAACUUUAUUAUGUUUGUUUGGACUCACUAUGAUCGUCUUCACUCCACAAUCCAUGUCGUUCAUUUUUGCUUCAUUACCAUAUUCACUCAUCCUCACUCCAUCGUUAGGGUUGACUGUCCUCUCUACCCCCUCUUCUGAAGAAAAAAAAAUUUGAAGUGUCAGGGCAGAAAUUGCAAAAUAAAAAAAAGUGGAUAAAAAAGCAUUAGAAGAGGAAUUUAUAGCAAUUGGCAAUGCAAAAAUGGGAAAAUUAAAAGAAGGACAUGUGCUUAAAGCUUGGAAAAUAAAAGAUUUCCUAUCAUAAAAUAUAAUCACCAUAAUAUAAGCAAAAAAUUCACCCCACUCAACCUUUUCAACACAAAAUUCAACACUUAAGACAGGAAAAUUAAUAACAAUAUUCACACUCUUAAGGGAAUACAUAAACUCUUUAGUAGUAACAAUAAAACAAAAACUCUUAACAACACUCAUAAAUAGGGAUAUGCAUUCAAUUUGAAACUCUAACUAAAGUGAUUCAACCCUUAGAAUAAAAAAAUACUAAACACCAGAACUAAUCAAAGACUCUACCAAUAAAAAAAAAGCAAGAUUUUCAACUUUAUGCAUACACUCAAUAUUUAGAUUAGUAUGAGGAUGACAAAAAACACUCAAUGCAACAGUAGAUUAAAAAUGAGAAUUAUCAAAGUCAUAAAUGAUUGACAUGCCAAGAGAAGAAAACACUGAAGAAAUAUUACAAACAUGAGAAUGUAAAUUAAAUGGCAGAUUUAAAAAUUGACACUUACUCUAUGAAAUCUUCAAUUCAUUUCCAAAAUUAUCUCCAUAAUAAUUAAAUUCUUCAUCACAAUCCAAAAUCCUUGUAAACAUCAUUUUCUCAUAAACUCAAUCUUCAAACAACUCAACUACAUCAUCCAUAACUUGCUAAUUGAUGUCACAAUCAUGCUCUACAAUAAAAGAUGGCAAAACACCAAGAACAUGACAAAUGACCUUCGUCAGCUUCCUGUGCUCUUGUGCAGCAAUGGGACUAUAGAGAUGUUUGCGUCGAUGCAAGGGGAUCACAGCAUGGAUCCAAUCCCAGAGCACUAUGGCUGGGUGGUGUGGUGUGGGCAUCUGCUGAGGCGCUCGUGAUUGCCAUGGAGCCCAGUGUCGAGCAGUGGACGAGCUUGCUCAAUGCGUGCACACUCCACUUGGAUCCAGCGCAAGUCACCUAAAGUGUGUCAUAGGAUAAGGGGGCGAUGGCUGUAGCUUCAUCAAAGCCGUGCCCGAAUAUCGCAUGGAAGAGUUCGAUCGUGUCGCCCGGCAGCCCGGGAUCUGCUGGCGCAAGAUCAUAGUCAGCGUUCUUUUAAUUAGAGCUCCAAGAGCUCCAAAGAUCAUCCACACAGGUAACCUUAGCAAGGCGGCAGCUUUGGAUGGAUCAGGUGAUCCUAAGGCAUGGCUGAGUUCGUGGCGAGCAUGACGACGUUCAAGAAGAGGGUGAACUCGAGCUUCAAGCCCAGGACGAGGCCACCUCGAGCUCGAUCACUCGAGAGCCAUUCAGUAAAUGGAUUGCUCCGAGACGCUCGAGUGCGAACUUAAGGAGCUCGAGAGGCGAUCUCGAGGACAUGAGUAGCGAGGUCCUAGGUAGAGUGAGGUGCCUGGGAGUGCCGAUUCUCGGUCACCGAGGCGGCGUCUCGAGCUUGAGAGAACAAGUUGAGGAACUGGAGAUCCAUACGAGGGAGGAACUCUAACUCAGCGACGACCUUGUAGCAAUUUGGCACUCAAGAGGAGGAGAAAGCAAUUUGGUGCUGCAUCGACCUGACAACUAUCACAUAUGGCAUGAGAGAUUCUUCGCCAGACAAUGUUUGCGCUAUAAACUGGUCCUCUCCAGACGUUUGAGAGCGUACAUCUGCCUGUUUUGUGAUUGCCUCACAAACACCUCACAAAUCAAUCGGCACGGAAAACCAAGCCCAGCGGCUUUGAAAAUCCUAGGAACUGAUGCUAGGAGUGCGGCUGGAGCGGACAACUCUUUGGUUACGUCAGUAGCUACAAAAGGCUGCCAAGAAAACCAUCGUGAAAAAAUUAAAAUGGUGCAGCUGGAAUAGCCUAGACAAACAAAAGCACUCUAGACUAGCAUCACCAAAUGGUGUUGUAGUUAUCUGUCUGAACAAGUCCACCUAACUAGACCUAGCCAUCAACUGCAGCAGUGACCAUUUCUCACUUUACACGUGAGUCAUACGUCGAAGCAUUUUGCAAAAAUCUGCUUUCGAGAUCCGGAUCUGGAAAAUGGGAAGCAGAUAUUUGCAAGAUGCAUCGAUAGUUUGUAUAUGGAACCGGUGCUGCCUUCUAUUCAGCUUUGGUUUGACAUGGUGCCAUGAUUUGUCCUUAAAUGAUUUUCCUGAAGGAGCUGUGAGCUAGAGUAAUUUUCAUAUUGUGACAACAAUGCUCUAAUGCACACCAAGAAGAUCACUCUAGCUCACAAUGACUCCAAGAAAAUCACCUUCAUCGCACGGACAAAUCAUGACAUCAUGUCAAGCUGGAUUGAAGGUAUCACUUGUUUAAUAUGCAAACUAUCAUGCAGCUUGUGUUUGUAGCUGAUAAAGACUGCUGCGUCGCUACUAUUUAUCUACAUGGACUAAUGUAUAUGUCAUAGGAUGCUGAUUUUGUCUUCGUACAUGCUGCCCAGCUGGUUGAUUUCUUGCUAUUUGAUUCUUGUUUCGCUUUCGUUGGAGCAGUCCGGAAAUCAGCAAGAGAAACGUGGGAUCCGGCAUAUCUCAAUUGUUCGAAUCUUUGCGAGUAUAUAACCAAGUGCGCUUGCCUCUCCAAAAGCAUCCUCUGUUUCGCUAUGGCUCAGUCUAUCAAGUUUGCUCCUCUCAUUGCGCUGCUCCUUUGCAUUGCUGUCACUGCUGAAGUGCUUGAUCUUCCAGGCGAUUUUUUCUUUGUCGAUGGAGCAGCCAGCCGACCGUCUGAAUGCAGGCCCAACUCGCAGUGCUGCCCAAACAGCAAAUUCUGUCCCAAGGGCAAAUACUGCACCGUUUGCACGAGGAGCAAUCCGCCUUCGUGCUUUUGCACGAAGGCCCCUCCAAACUGCGGAGUAGGCAGUAGCUGCUGCAGUGACGGGGACUGCCCAAAGGGAAAAGAAUGCAGCGUAUGCACUAAAUCGUUCCCACCUAUUUGUCGCUGUGGCCCUAAGCCUAAGCUCGUUCUUGUUUCCGAGUGAAGCAGGCUAUCAAGUGUGUGAUGGUCAACCCUGUUGACUGUGUAAUAAAAGAUCUUCCAUAAUGAUAAUGUGUGGCUAUGUUUAUAGUUGUCAAUGGAGCAGGUUAUAGAUUUUGAGCUUCGGAUAGAUUGCUUUCUGCUAGUUUUCUAUCUGUCUUCCUUCGGAAGGGAUGGAACAAAGGGUUGAGCUCUUAAAGUUAACACAGUCAAUCAUUGUCAAUAAAUGGCUUGAAAGUUGGACUACUAUUCUAGGAAACACUCUUCAAAAUGCUUCCAAGACUUCCCAUUUCCAAGGCUUCCCAUUGGUUGGAGACCAGAUCAUUCCAUCGGUUGAUCCAUGUUUCUUUUCAAUCGCACUUUGUUUGCUCAUAUCUUAUAUCUUACUUGUAUAUGGAUGCUCUCAACAAACAAUCUCAAUGGUUUAAAUAAGUAGAUAUAGCUGGACUAGCUAAAAAAGAAUAGUCAUUUAGACAACCAUUAAUGCAAUCAUACUUCAAACACCUAGAUAUCAUUCUUAGGUCAUGGUCCCACACUUUUCAUGCUGACUUGGCAGGCAUGCAGAGAGUUGAGGUGGCACGCAUGCAAAUAUAUCCAAAUAUAUGUAAAAGGUAGCUAUCUAGCUCUCUAGUACACGUCAUGUCUGCUCUUUUACACUGACCUGGCAUGCAUGCAGAGAUGUUGAGUUGGCACACAUGCAUUCACCUCCUAAAUCCCAAUUACGCACCAUGCAUUCGUAUAUAAAGCUCUUUCUCUCUCUUGUUGUUCCCUUCUGAAGUUAUUAGCCAGAUUUUAUAGGAAAAUUUAUUUCUUUAAAACUUUAUAAACGUCCAUUGUAUAUCUUAACUUUAAUGGCUUUCAAAAAGUGUUUUACUCUUUAUAGGAGGGUGACUUUUUAUUGAACUUUUCCAUAGAAUGAAAUAAAAAACUUUCAUAAUGAAAGGUAAUGUUAUAAGUUUUGAAUCAUAAAAUCAUAGAGAUAAACAGUUAAAUAUAAUGUAGUUAAAGUGUUUGCUAUAUAUUGCUUGAUUGUAUUUUAUAUUUUGAAAUUUAGUAGACUCUCAAAAUGAUAGGUAGAUUUCAAACAAACCUUUCAAAAGAAAAAAAAAAAGAUUACCUUUCAAAGUUGAGGCAUAGUACAUUGCAUUAUUAGAAAUUUUAUAUGUAAACUAAAUUCAUGUUCAAUAAAAUAAAAGAUCAAUGAGAUGCUCAUAAAACUUUAAAAGUUAAGUUUUGAUUAAAAUUUAUUAACUUUGAAAUUAUUAAGAACUACCUCUAGAUUGAUAAAUAAUUAUAAAAGUAGUUGUGCAUUAAUUUCUUAAACCUACGGUGACAUCCUCUGAAAUGAAAAUAUAAGAGAUGUAUUUCUCAAAGCUGGAUGUGUUAUUUGAUAAUAGAAUGUGGUUAAUCCCUUAAUUGAAUAAAUUAGUAAAUAUAACUACAGUAGAAGAAUUUUCACUAGUUUCUCCAAUGCUAGUAAGUAUUAUUCACUAUGGAAUCUUUUCGUACAACUGGUCUGUGAAGCAGUCUCCAAAGGCGUAGCUGCCACUGAGUUCUCGCAAUUUAGCGCUGCUCGCAGGCCUCUCUAAACUCAAAAUGAGGGAGAUCACAACCCAUGAGCAAGAACACUAAAUGGCCUACCUGAUGGAUACUUGAUGUAAUCAGCAUUGUCAUGCCUACUUGGAGAGAAAUUCAGUAGAUCAUAGUUCCCAGCGAUCUCCUGACGCUUUGCAUUGCUGUGAAGCUUCUCUGCGGCAAAAACAGGACACUUCUUGUUAGCAAAAGAGCGAGAAAACGAGGUGAGAACUCGAGAUACCUGAUCGUCUGAUGUCAGGAGUGAGAGGACGAACUAAACGCUGGGCUGUAGCUUCGUUCUUCUCGGUGGUGCUGCUGUUGUCAUCGUUGCUCAUCAUCUUGUCAGUGCCGUCGUUGUUCUCCUUGUUGUUGGAGCCACGGUUGUAAAAGUCAUGCGUCCCGCUCAGCUCCUUUACUUUAGCCUCGCGUAAGUGCUUAUCUGCAUACACGUCUGUAAGUAACUGAUAAGAGGGAGCCGACAAAACGGAGAACUUAACCGAAAAAAUCUUUUUUCCACCUGGGAUCUUGUUUAAACCUUCAGGGGUCGCGUUCUCGUCGUGUUGAACAGGAUUGCUUCCCCUCAGCUGCUUAAUCCUAGCAACAACAUCUGCAGCAUCACCAGAGUGAGUACCAAGCGAGAAACCCAUGCGCCCCAAAGAAGAAUCCAUCCAGCUGUGUAUGUAUGCACAAAGAGGCUGGAGUUAACACAAUGGGAUUCAAAUAAUGUCCCUGCAGGCCAAACGCGUGAGUGAUUCCUCUCAAAAGGCGAAGGACACAAGUAAAAAGAAGAUAAAAACCGAAAAAAAACCCCCGCAGCUAACCGAGUACAAUGGUGCUUGGUCCACCUGGUGGCUUCCUGAUACGGUUGCUGACACUCUGCUGCGAUGGCGGAGGCUUCUCCUCGGAGAAAAUGUCACUCCCGAUCAUUUCUCUUCGCUUAGCGUCGCUGAGAGACUUCUCCACAUGAGUUCCAUAGCCACCUUUCUUGAAGAUGUCGUUUCCAGUCAUCUCUGCUGCCUUUUGGUUGUGUGUCCGCUGGCCUUGGGAAGAGUACUGCAUCCCCCAACACCCCAACACAGGUAAAGAAUAAACUGGCAAGCUUCAUGGUUCUCGUUAGUUCUUCGCAUUUUUUUAAGAGCUUCGAGAGCGGCAUACCUCGGAUGUUGGUGGUCCAAAGAUAUUGCUUCCGCACAUUUCUUUUGCCUUGGCAUUAGACAUUGGACGUCGAGGUUGCUCCUCAAAUGUCUCCUGGGUUCCACUGAGCUCGCGUUGCUUAGCCACCUCUGCGUGGCUGCUAGCUUUCUUUUGGAAGCUGUUGUCACCUUCUCCAAAAGAAAUUUGGCUCCCUCCACUCGGCUGAGAAAGAACGAGAAGUUACGUCAAACUUUGGCUUACCAGAAUGAUCUAAAUGAUGCAGCUAAUGCUUCACAAAAACUCCAAGGUCCUGUCAAAUGGCAAGAGCGGCAACUCAGUCGUAAAAAUGUAAGAUAUUCCAAUGCUUUAGCUAGAACAAAAAAAAACUCACAUGUUUCAGCGACUAAUCGACGAAGUGAUCCGAAAUGCGCGAGAGAAUGCUUUGUCUUGCGAGAGCUACAAACUGGAGUUUUCAAGCAAGAAUGCGGCAUCCCACCUGGAGAAUCCGGAUGGCCGAGCGCGAAACGGGCGGAUCCGUGCAGCUCUGGUCAUUAGCCGCCGCGAAUCCCUUGCUAUCGUUGGUCGCCGAAAAGCGCACGGGCGUGGCUCGGUCCGACGACGCGUCCGCGCCAUCCGACCAGCUUAGGAGAUCAGACUUGCCCUGGCUGCCGCGCUUCUCGAUCGCAGACAUCGCUCACCGGAGCUGGAAGAUCACAUCCCCAAAACCCUUGCCGGGCGCGAAGAAAGACCAGCAAAGAAAUGAGAGAGGGCAAAACCUAAUGCCCAAAGCUUUCAAACCAACUGCAUGCGCGCAAAGGGAUAUUCUCGGCCGGAUCAGCAUAUUCUCUAGAAUAAUCAUUCCGUACGAGAGUUUUAUACACGAGGUUUUACUUCUCAAGCGUAGCACCUGUUUCCAUUGCUCGAUUUAGUCUUCAGCCCGGGAACUUCUCCAUCGUCCUCCACGGGGACCUUGGCAAACAAAAGAAAAAUAAGAUCUUGCGUAAGUUUCCAGUGUUUUCUGUCCGAGAUCCAGCAGGGAAAAAAAUUCAUAGACGAGAAAACGAUCUUCUAUAACGAAAUCUGGAUGAUGUAAAGCACUGGAAAACACAAGAAUCUAGAAAGAAAAAGGAGAAGUUUAGAGAGAACCUUGUAAUCCGGGCCUAUAACUCUGUGAUGCGAUGUUUCGGCGACAGAACCCGUGGAAAGAUUGUGAAGCCGCGGGUAUGGGAUCUUGUAGUGCCAAGCGAUCUCAUACCGGGUCUCCCCUUCAAAUAUCUGCAAGAGACAAAUAUUUCAUGGCCGAAUGGAUCAGAGCAAACUGGGGAACACAAACACCUUCUCGUUGAUCAGCUUGGAAUCAGACAAAUGCUGGUUCUUCCGGAAGAGCUGCACGGCCUCGUCCUGGAGAGAAAGAUAAGGAGAGAGAGAGAGAGAAUUUGAGCGAGAAGAAAGAACACCACAAUCUCCUACCUUGAUGUAUUGCUUCUCGUUCUCCGGACCCGGCCAUGUCCGAGAUGAUCGCAGUAACGAUCGGUAGAGCGCCAGCGCCCUCGCCCUCGUUCCCAUUUCCACACAGAAGAAAUUAGGGCUUUACAUUAUCCAGAUUCGCUGCUAUUGUAAGAAUAUUCUCCGGUCAAUCCGGAGUAAGUAAUCCUCGGCUUGCUUGAGAGCUCCGAGUGAGACUUGGUGUGAUCGCCAUCGAUAUGAUUAUCUUGCCAGAACUAUCGAGUGAUCGACGACUUCACAACCAGCUCAAGUCUAGAGGUGAGAGCAAAAAGAACUCCAGUGAAAGUACCUCUUCUGGAUCAACGUAGAAACCCGGAUGGGAAUGCGAAUUCCCACAAAGUCGAGCGAGCUUGUCACUUCCUCCACACGGCCAACACAUCGUCAGUCCGGAACCGCUGAGUGCACGUCGAUUCCUCCAGUGGAGUAGUGAUGCCAGCCUCAAACGCCAGGAGCCCAGUAUACGCGAUCAUGGCUCCAUUGUCUAUGCAGUAUCUGUCGUCCGUCGCGAAGAGCUUGCCUCCCCUCUCGUCGCACAUCACCUGCAUCAUGGCUUGCAGCCUCUGGUUGCAUCCAACGCCGCCGACGAUGAGGACGUCUCGCUUGUCACAGUGGGCCAUUGCUCGUUCUGUGAUCUCCACCAGCAUCGCGAACACAGUCUCCUGCUUGGUCUUUCCGAGAUGAGAAAACAGUACGAAGAAAAAAGAGAUUUUUACCUGGAGUGAGAAGCACAAAUCAGCUGGAGUGCACUCCUUGGCUGCCAGCUUCUCGGUCGCAACGCUCUCAAUGUAGCUCAAAAUGCCACUGAAAGAAACGUCCAUUCCUUUCACCACGUAAGGCAGCUCAAUGUACUCGCUCCCCUUCUUCGCGAGCUAUUACGUUGAAGAAACCAUUCAUGAGACGAACAAGGAAAAGAAAAAAUUCCAAGAGCUACCUGUUCGAUGUUAUAACCCGGAGCUGGAUCGUUGGAGAUGUUGAGAACUCUGGCAAAUCGAUCCAGGCAAUUCCCCACAGCGAUAUCAAUCGUCUCUCCAAAAAUCCUGUAGCGCCCUUCGCUGUAAGCUAUCACCUGCGUGUUCCCACCACUGACAUAGAGCACCACUGGAUCGCUGGCGCCAGUUACGACUCUCCCCAUCUCAAUGUGAGCCACGCAGUGAUUGACAGCCACGAUGGGCUUCUUCCACAGCAGCGAUAGAACCCUAAUCACCACUGCCACUGUCUGGAGCGGCGCUCCCAUCCCAGGCCCCUUAGUGUAGCACAGGCAAUCGAUGUCGCCCGGGGCGAGCCCGGCCUCGUCCAGCGCCGCCUUGAUCAGGGGCAAGAUCUGCUGCUGGUGAUGGAUUGCCGUCUCGCGCGGCAGGAAUCCCUCACCUGGUGGAGUGAUGUAGGUGCGCCGCGGAUUGGCGAGGAUUGUCCCAUCGCUCUUGGCAAUGCCGACGCCGAUCUUGUUCGCGGAGCCCUCUAUCCCCAGCGCUAUCUUCAUCGCUCGGGGUUUAGGGCUUUAGGGGAUCCAAAAGCCCUAAUCUGAAUGUUUAAUGGAAUAUCCUCCAUUAUAGGGCGACCUGGCCAUGGCGAUGCAUGGCGAUUCAGUGACGAGGUAUGGCGCUGAGUGGAUCGAUUUGCUGUAGCUGGAUCGAUUACUGUAGCUAGAAAGCGCUAGCGCUUAAAAUCUCCGCUGCAUGCCUGUGGAGCGGCACCAUUUUUCACUCCAGGGCCGUGCUCUGCCGCUUGCGUCGUUGUUUAGCUGGGGAGCGCUGCAAUUUGCGCCCCUUUUCCCUAGCAAUCCUUCGUACCUUGCAUUGAUUUUGCUGCCUUUCGAGUCGCGAUCACUGGAUUGUCUCACUUCCGUUAUGGUGAUUUUAACUUAGUCUUCCUUUCUUUGUUUUUGCGUCCUUGUGUCUCUUCCUGUCUUAUCACUGAGGCUUUGUUUAUUCUUCUCUUCGAGCGGUGAACGCGUGAAGUACUUUGAGCGAUUUUUCUUUGCCUUCGUCUUCUUUCCUCUCUUUGUUUUCUAUCCAUACGAUUGUUUCUAGCCUCCGGCCAACUCCUGCUUGAACAGCGGGAGAUUUUUUAGAACUACACACACGAGAGUUGAGCAACGCGGUAUGGCAGGAUUUUCAAGACGGAUUUUGGCAACAGACACUCCCGUCAUGGUUCAGGUGCUUUACUGGAACUGGAAGAGGGGAAGAGAGCAAGAGAGGAAGAUUUUGCACUUUGAUUCUUUUCUUUUGUGUCCCGACUGUGCGUUGUAACUUUGUUAGCUGUGGAAGCUUGCAGGUUCAAGAGCUUCUUCAAGGAAGAAACGAUGUUGUCUCGCUUGCCCAGGUCUCUUCCACAUUUGUUUGAUCUGAUUACAAAUCAUUCUUCCAGGGAGUUGUCCAUUGGCAGCCUCCACCGCAAGCUCUCGAGAAAGUCAAAGAUCUGAUACAGGACAUUUCUACAAGCCGCUAUGGCCCAGACGAUGGCCUUCCAGAGCUUAGGCUUGCACUUUCCGAGAAGGUUUGUUUCUUUUCUUCUUGCUCUCUCUUUUUCUAACUCACACCUUUCGUUUCUUCGUCCACAGCUUAAGAAGGAAAACAAGCUUUUCAAGUCUUCGGUGAUGGUCACCGCUGGUGCAAACCAGGUGAACUAACGCAAUCUUCCGUUCCAUAGGCAUUUAUUGUUCUAGUGAUUUUUUCUCCCAGGCCUAUGCGAAUUUAGCACUCAGUUUGUGUGAUCCAGGAGAUUCCGUGGUAAUGUUUGCUCCAUAUUACUUCAAUGCGUACACGACAUUCCAGAUGACUGGCAUCUAUGACAUCGUCGUGGUUCCCAGUCAUCCAGACACUUGUCAUCCAGAUCCAGGUACUUCAGCUUCUUUUUCUAAUGAUUCUCUACGAACAUUUACAACAGAAAUGCUGGAGAAAGCUCUUCGUGAGCAUACCCCAAAGCCGAGAAUUGUUAACGUUGUGAAUCCUGGAAAUCCUUCUGGUACUUAUUUACCAGAGGAAACACUCAAGGCAAGAUCACCUCUCUUGCGAUAUUUUCCUGGCUCUAAAUUUCGUUUUUCGACACAGCGAAUAUCGGAGCUGUGCAAGAACGCUGGAGUUUGGCUCGUUGUAGACAACACGUACGAGUAAGUUUUUCCCCUAUUCUUUGCUUUUUCUUUUCCUUAAACUUGCUACUUGAAGGUAUUUCAUGUACGAUGGUCGCAAACACGUUUGCAUCGAAGGUGACCACAUACUAAACGUCUUUUCGUUCUCCAAAGCCUACGGCAUGAUGGGAUGGCGAAUAGGAUAUGUAAGAAUCUCUACAUCAAAACCAUUUUUUCUCUCCUCCUUAUCAUUGCCUUGGUGGUGUUCACAGAUCGCCUAUCCAUCAACAGUGCCCGGCUUUGGCGAGCAGCUGCUCAAAGUCCAAGACAACGUCCCCAUUUGCGCGUCGAUCAUCGGGCAAAAACUUGCUCUGGCCGCUCUAGACGCUGGUCCUCAAUGGGUCCUGGAACGAGUAGCGAGACUAGGCAAGAACAGGGCCAUGGUUUUGGAUGCUCUCUCGUCGCUGGGCCAAGGAGCUGUGAAAGGAGGCGAGGGGGCAAUUUACUUCUGGGCCAAGCUUCCGGAGAAAUUCCCAGACGAUGUAGCAGUCGUGAAAUGGCUGGUUUCCAAGCACAAAGUUAUGGUGGUUCCUGGUAGCGCUAGCGGAGGAAAGGGGUGCAUUCGAAUCUCCUAUGGUGGAUUGGACGAGGGGAGCUGCGAAAUCGCGGCGGCGAGGCUUAAAGCCGGCCUGGAAGAGCUUGUUCUUCGCGGUUGCGUCUAGGCGGGAAAAAGGUUUUAAAUUUGAAUUUGAAUUGAUUUUUAAACUGGCGGGCUAGGGCUAGGGCAAGGGCUUUUGGCGAUGGAGAGUCCAGCAGCGCCUGUGGUGCCGGUGGAGCAGAAGGCCGAGCGCCUUCCACAGGAUGCUGGAAAACUGGUUUUCUCGUUUGGAUUCGAGGUGCGUCGCGAGAAAUUCCGCUGUUCUUGGGAUCGCAGCUGAUUUUUCUUCUCUUUGUCUCGCAGGGAACACGGAGGAACAACAUUUGCUACAUCGAGCCUAGUAUUCUAAUGCACACUUGUGGAAACACCAUUCACUUCCUCGACGUUAGAACCAUGACUGCGACUUAUCUUCCCGUGAGUUUUUGUGGUCCGGUCUUUCUUCCACCUUGUCAUGCUUGGUUUUAUGUUUUCUAGAGUGUUGGAGGUCUUGGGAUUGGAGCAGUAGCGAUCCAUCCAACGAAGAAGUACUUUGCAGUGUGCGAGAAGGGGAUUAAUCCGAAUAUUUAUAUCUAUGACUAUCCGAGCUUAGUAUACACGAAGGUAUGGAGUUCAGUGUCUUUCUGAUUUGAAAUAUAUAAUUUAAGGCAGGUUUUAAAAGAUGGUACCGAGAGGCUCUUCAGCGCUGCCGCGUUUAAACACGAUGGAAAUCAGCUUGCAACAGUUUGUUUAUUCUUUUCAAUCUGAAGUUUUCCAGACAUUUAGAAUCGAUGUUGUUGCAGGUUGGAGGCUAUCCCGACUACUGGUUGACUGUAUGGGAUUGGCACAACGAGACAAUUAUCUUGAGAGCGAAAGCCUUCUCGCAGGAGGUUUUUAAUGUAAGCGUGGUGGAAUUUUUUAACUGAGCGUUGCUUAUUUUGUUAUGUGUUUCUUAAUGCAGGUGUCUUUCUCGAAGUACUUCUCUGGUCAGUUGCUUACCUCUGGCGUUGGACACAUUCGAUUCUGGAAUAUGGCUUCCACUUUUACCGGAAUGAAGCUAGAGGCAAGAUAUGAGGAUAAAGCCUCUACAUAUUGUCUAAUUCGUGCUCGAGUUUACGCAGGGUUUUAUAGGAAAGUUUGGACAAGUACCACUAAGUGAUAUUGCCGGUUAUGUAGAACUUUCCAACGGAAAGGUGUGGCUUAGCAUUUGUAUCCUCGUGUGCUAGAUAAUUCUCUUACUCAGGUCCUCUCCGGAACAGAGGGAGGCGGUAUUAUCGUAUGGGAAGGCGAACUCGUCAAAUGCCAAUUAAAAAGAAAAGGAGGGCUAAGCUGCCAUGAUGGAAUGGUGGAGAUCACAAUUCACGAUACGGGGGUUAAUGAGUUGAUUACGUGCGGAUCUGAUGGAUACAUAAGGUUCUGGGACUUUGGAACGGUAUGUAAAAUUCUUGUAAAGCUGUUGUCUCAUGCGACUGGUUUCUCUGAAGUGGUUGGACGCAGCUGAUGAUGGAGAUGAGAAACUCAUUUGCGAGGUGAAUCCCCUUCGAGAGCUUUUCGUUGAUCCGGAGUGUAAAAUAAAAGGGAUCUUGUUCGAACAAGACCAUUGGAUGAUUCAGGUCGGUAUUUCCGUUUUUUACCCGUCGCGACGACAAAGCUGACAUGAGUUCUACGGAAUGGACAGGAUGAAGGUGGUGCAUUAUGGAGGGUGCAUGUGCCAUCGUUUGAGCUAGAGCAGAUUCUGGAGUUCCAUGCAGGGGCAAUAGUUUCGAUAGCGAGCUCGCCAAACAGUUAUUACAUUGCGACGGCAGGCACAGAUGGCACCGUAAGCGAAAGGGGGUACACUUUGUUGUUACUCAAAGGCGCUCCUCACUUGCAGGUGAGGCUUUAUAACUUCAAGCAGCAGAAACAAAUAUACAAGCGACGGUUUUCAGCACCGUGUACCACAAUGAUCUGGAUGCCACGGACAGUCGAUCCUGAAUGCAAAACCAUUGCUGUAGGAUUUAAGGAUGGAGUGGUGCGUAUGCUGCAACAGUGCAGUACCAGAUGGAGGCUUCUGCAUGCAAUGAAACCUCAUAACGUAAGCAUGGAUAAUAUCAUAUCAUGAAAUGGAUUUUCCUGCAGAUGGAAGUCACAGGACUCAAACUCAGUCCGGAUGGCGAGCUUCUGGCAACUGUAUCAACAGAUGCAACAAUUUUUUUCUUCCAUUGCCUCGAAAAUUACAGGCCAAUUGGGUACGUCUGCAUAUGUUUGGGAAAGUUAUCAAUUUACUAUGUUGGCCUGUAGAUUUUUUAAAUUUGCAGCAGGAGUAGGGUGCUUGGAUUGGUCUCCUAAUGGGGACUACGUGCUAUUGGCGUGUAAAAACUGCGAGAUUCUUGAGGUUGCUCGACCACGUACGUCGACGUACUUUCUUUAAGUGAUCGAUCUGAUCGUAUCUUGUGAUGCAGCAUUACAUCCAGAUACCAAAGUUACGUAUGAGCUAGCAUUGCCGUCGAGAGCUAUUUCGUUUCUUCUCCCAAAGAUAAAAAAACCGAAACCGCCGCCACCUCCACAACAACCAAAACCGGCCAAGGUAUUGAUUGCAAUGCCAUGUUAUUCUUCUUAUUCCUGCUUUCAGCGUUGACUAGACAAGUGAAGGCGAAGGAGGUGAAAAUCCUGAGGGUGCUUCAGCGACCGAGGGCACUCCUCCAGCAGAAAGAGCCUCUGGCGAAGGUCAAGCUGUUGAGGGAAAGGAAGGAGAGGCAGGAGAGGGAGGUGAAGGUGAAGAAGAGGGUGAAGAAGGACCUGAAGGACCUGAAGUAGCCGAAGGCGAGGGGGAUGAAGGUGGAGGACGGGAAACAGAGGAAGGAAAGAAUAAAAAGAAAAAGACAAAGAAGGCUCCCCCGCCGCCAGCAGUUGAAGAAGUCCUACCCGAUGAGUUUUCCUCUUCAUUCCAAGCAGGAGCAUUGUUGUACACAAAAAGUAGCAUGAACACAUUCUACGUAUCGCUAGAGGUGAGCACACUUGUCAACUCGUCAUAUUCUUACAUUUGGAAUUUUUCAUUUCCAGGGGAAGACGGGAUUGCUGUACGAAUCUCAUGCCGACUCUAAAGACGCUCUAGGAUAUGCGCCGUGGAGUCAAGGAACGCUAACUACGCUCGAGUACGUUACUCUUUUCUAGCUCAAUUACGCUUCAACCAUUGUUUAACUGUAGGUACACGCAUUCGAUGGAGUAUGUUGUGUCAGGAACAGCUGAUGGAGUCGUUCGCAUCAAUACUACUCCUCACGCUGGACAAUUGGGUUUAGUACAGCAGCAAAAGUACUGGGAGGUAUCAAUGCGUAACAUACAAGUUUCUCGUUUGACAUUCCUUUACAGGGUAAUGUUCACGAUUGCUACUCGGGUUCCAUUGGCAACUGUGUCAUGAGCUAUGACAAUUUGUAUUUGGUACUUGUUGUUGUUGCAUUCUAUUGAGUAUCUAACCUGACAUUCUCAGGCCAGUGUCGCCCAUGAUGGCAGCUUUUUCCUUUAUGAGAUGUCUUUGGAAACAGGGGCCCCUAGGCAUCCUGAUACAAAAACUAAAGGUUUUAUGUUAAUGGUGAUACAUUCCAGAGGCUGACUUUCACGUUUGUGCUGCAUUUGGCAGAUCUUGAAGAUACUUUGCCAGACGCAUCAGACGUCCCCCCUGGGGUCUAUAGCAUCGAGGAUGACAAACAGAAAACGGAACAAGAAAACAAGCUCAGGACUGCAUUGCAGAAGAAAAAGCUUGUCACUGACAGAUUGGAUAGGAUCCGGCGAGAACUGGAAGAGCUUAUCAGAGUAAACAAAGAAAAGACGCCAACCGAAAUGAUUCCUUUCGAGACUUUUGAGAUAGACUCGAGUUUGAGGGGGUAAGAACUUUCGAGUAUUUUAGUAUUUUAGUCAUGGCUUAUUUUUACAGUAUACUCGAAAACGAGAUCAAGGAGAAAGUAAGAAGUGCUCGCGAAGAAUUGCAAUGGGAGAGUGAAAGGAGCGAGAUUGCACUAUCCAAGCUUCGGGCGUUUCUGCUCGAUCCUCUGGAGGUCUGCGUUGUCCUUGCGUUUAUUCUAAUAGUCAGAAUUUCUAGUGCAGGUCGAGCAUAUUGUUUUGCAUGCAUUCCGAACAGAUGGCCAUGUCUCUAGCUUUCGCACGGAAAAGCUUUCCCCAGAAAUGAAGGUUGGUACCAGGAACAAGAAAAGUAUGUUUCUGUAAUUGUUGCUUCUGCUGAUUAAGAUGAUAGAAGAAGCAAAAGCUAUCACGGAUGACAAAAGCAAAACCCAAGAAAAAGAUGCUGAAGAUGGCAAGGUGUGUAUUCACUCGUCGGCAUUUAUUUGCUUUAAUACUUUUGGUAUGUCUUGUAGGAAGGUGGUGAAAGCGUUGUUUCCGAGCCAGAAGAAGGUGAAGACGACGAUAUCAUCACAAAACAGGAUUUGAGAAGGCUCAAACUUAAGAAAAAGGAGGAUGAGUAUGAAGAUUACCUGAAGACAAAGCCAGAUGAUGUGUGAUUGAUGCUAUCAAAGUUACAAGGAUCUCAUGCAAGUUUCCUUGGUCUUUGUUUAUAGGCUUAUGCCAACCCGGAGGACCUUGAGGCCAUAAGGCAUGCAGAGAACACAAAAGGAGAUUUCAAGCUAAAGACAGACCUGACAUAUGUGCCACCGGUAGAACAAAGAACAAAUGCCGUGAAAAAGAGAAAUGAAAUGGUCUUUUUAUACGAAGCCAUACACGACCGAAAGAUGAGCUUCAACAGUGAGUUUCUCUCUCUCAGAGAAAAAAAGAAGCAGAUAAGAUUCCAGAUAACACAACGAAAUUCAAGGAUUUCAGAGAUCAAUAAUCUGCUCAGGUAUUUUCUUGUGCCGGAAUGGAAACUUACAAUGCUGUUGCUGUUGCUGCUACAGGAUCAAAGAGGAACCUUUAUACAGUCCUCUAACUUUCAAAGAUGAAGCGCCGGAAGAGCGGAACAACAUUACUAAGAAAGUAUGUGUUGUAUCCCUUUCAUGAACGGGCUCAAACAUUCUAUCUGUACAGGAUCUGGACGACUACAUUGAGAGGAAGAGGAAAGCAGAGAUGAAAGUGGAGGUAUUCCUUUUGUCUACACACACUGCUAUGUGGUUCAAGAAAACAAAGUUUUGUGUGUAGGAAAAAGAUAAAGGUGGUGGCUUCGGAGGAUUCGGUGGUGGCCCUGUCAAAAAGGUGGAAAAGAAGGCAGAGAAGGCUGAAAAGGGAGCUGAGAAAGCCGAAGAAAAGAAGGCAGCCGACCCUCAACGAAAAAUGUCUAGGAAAAUGUCAGAAAGAGUUUCAAGGAAAACGAUAAGAGAGGGUGAAAUAGCAUCAACAACAUCAGCGUUGCGUGCUCCUUCGAUCCUGGAGGUAAAAAAUGUUCUGUGUUUUGGUUUUUGAGCUGGUUUUUCUGUGCUGCAGCAAGCUGAACAGGAAGCAUUUAUUGUGAAACUGAAAUAUGAGAAGGCGCUGAAUAAAGAGAGAAUUGAUUUGCUCAUCUCUACAUUUGAUAGUGAUUUGGAGGACUUGAGGAAUCGGAGGUUUACGCUCGACAUAAAAAUCAAGGGUGCUGAACUGAAGAUGCUCAUCCUUUAUCAAGUAAGUUUUUUGUACACGCUUCUGUUCUCUUUCCAAGUGUUUGUCUCGAGUAUUGAUGUUUCAGGAGCUUAGACUUCUUCAAACUCUUCAACCCAAGGAGCAAGCUCUACAAAAUCGCCAUACUGCUAAGCUGCUUGAAGCGGAGGACCUAUUAGUAAGAUCUUUUGUCAAUGAUGCCAGGAUCAGCAAUAAAUUUUUAAAUUUUUUGUGAACAGUCGAAAAUAAGCGACCAAGAAAAAGCUGUGGAGUUGAAAAAGCAAGAGGUGGCUGGAUUGCAAGACAAGAAGCAACAGGUUCGCAGUAAAACUGUUGUUUUGCUAGUUUUGUUAUGGUCUAUGUGCAGCUCUUGGUGGAGUUCGAGCAAAUGAUGGGAGAAAACAAUCCGUUCAGGGACACUCUUUACAAAAUCUACACAAAGAAGAUGAAACGACCGAAGCCAAAAGAACCUGGUGAAGAAUCGGAUUCGGAAGAGGAAUCGGAUUUGGAAGAAGAAGGCUCCGAUGAAGAUUUUGAAGAAGAAGAGGUUUGUAGCGCAUGCAAUGGAACAAAAUAUGGUGAGUUCUUUUUCAGACACCCGAAGUAUGUCCCAGUGGAUGCGAGGAGUCCCUGUAUGCAAGCGUGCUUGCUCUACGUGAAAGACGUCUUGACGUCGACGAAGCCCUCGUGGAGAACGUGAAACUUCUAGACAGUAAGAUCUUUCUUGUGUUUACGUUUCGCUUUGCUAACAUCGGUGUGCCACAGGCAUGCAAAGAGAGAAAGAGACGAAGUUGAAGAAGAAAAAAGGAAUAGACGUUGCUCUCGAGACAAUCAAACGCGAGCUAGGGGAGUUUCAGAAACAGAAGCAGACUGCCUUGAAUCAGAUCGACGUCGCAGUCACACUUUACAUGCAUCAAGUAAGUUAGUAUUCUCCCCUUGUCGUUGAUUUCCAGCUUACUGGCGUGCCACAGGUCGAGUACAUCGAAAAUGCCGCGAUUCCCAAAGACCUGUCCGGUGGCCUCGUCUUUACAAACGCCUCGUUGAAGCAACUGAGAGCGACGAUUGAGAGGCACGUAGCCGAGAAGGCGGCACUGAGGAGAUUGCAAAAGGACCUGCGAAAGGAGUACGCGGCACUGGUCCGUGAACGAAAAGCUGAGGAAGAAAACACUACCGAUACGGAGCAAAGAGUCAUUGACGUGCAAAUGCUCAGAUUUGGACAGGUUUGCCAAGCUUUUCCAAUUUUUUUUCUUUUCCUCGCUGGUGUUUGCUUAUUGGUAUUUCCAGGUGAUUGACCUCUCCGUUGUGGAGCUUAUACGUGUCAGGAGGGACACUUUAGAGCUUAAGGAUAGAGUCAAGCAGCAAGAAGCAGAGUACAGUGCCGAGCUUGGCGAGUUGAGCCGCAAUUUGGACGAUGCCACUGACGAGCUUGCACGUAAGUUCUAGUUUUGUCCAUCUAGCUUGAAUUUCUUUCCUUCUCUUUUCCUGGAACAAACAGGUGCUAUGCGAGAAAACUCAGCCUCGCUGUACACAAUAGCUGAUCUUCAGGAGAAACGCAAUGCCAUUGAAGCGGCAAGUCACAGACAUUUCCCUCUCGCUGCUAAGUUUUUCUCACGGUUGUCUCUCGCAGAGCAUGAAAAUCAAAGCGAGAGCCACAUUCCGAGAUCCGCUGAUCGAAAAGCGUCGAGACGCAGCAGAGCAAGAGCGAUUGCGCCAGGUACUCACAAAUCUAAGAUGAAAAAAAAGAAAAAUACUCACGAAGAAAACUCUCGGCUUGUACAGAUUGUUGUCCGGAACGCUCAAGUCAUGGACAGCCUCGAAGGCCAAUUAAACUACGCCCACGACAACUUCGAAUCAAUCUUCCCAUAGCAAACGAGCUCGGCUUGAUUGUUUGAUUGUCUUUCGAAGGCUUAUACAACAACAAAACGGCUUAUAAGUAGCACACGUAUAUCAACGACUCACCGGGAGAGAAGUUCACUCGUAAAGCUUCUCGGCAAGGCGCGGCGUCGCAACAGCUUGGACAGGAUUCGCCAUGAACGUCACGACACCCGGACGCUCCGUGAGGUCGAUCUUCUCGGGCUUCACUCCCGGCGGUGGUGCCCAGGAGAAUUGGUGGAGGAGCCGAGCAACCAUGAGCUGGACCAUGUUGAGACCGAGCUGAGCUCCCGGGCAGAUCCUCCGGCCAGCGCCGAAAGGUAGGAGCCUGUAGUCGUGGCCUUUGAUAUCAACGUCCUCUUCCAGGAACCGCUCGGGGCGAAACACCGACGCUCGCUUCCACACCUUGGGGUCUCGCCCGAUCGCGUAAACGUUGACGUGAACGAUGGUCCCUUUGGGGAUGUCGUAGCCUCCGAUCUUGACGCGGGUGGUGGCCUUGUGUGGGAGCAUGAGCGGCGUCGUUGGGUGGAGCCGGAGUGCCUCUUUGACGAUGCUCUGGAGGUAUGGCAGCUGCUGGACGUCCACCUCGGUGAUGAUCCGCUCCUUUCCGAUCACUCGGUCCAUCUCCUCGUGAGCUUUCUCCUGGACUUUCGGGUGCUUGAUGAUCUCGGCCAUCGCCCACUCGGCUGAUAUGGCCGUGGUGUCCAUCCCCGCGGUGAUCAUGUCCUGGAAAUACACGAAGAACAGACCGUCAACUUUCGAGCUCCAAGUUCUAGCAAGAAAGAUAUCUCGCAGAAGGAAGUUCUUACCCAGAGGAGGCCGAUCACGGUGGUCUCGCUGAGACCAUACUGGUCCUUGAGAUUGAGCAGCGCGUCCACGAAGUGUUCCUGGCUCGUCCCACUCUUCUUCUUCUCCAGCGCGUGCUCUUCCAUGAUCUCCUUGGUGAGGCUGUCUCUCCUGGCGCCGUGCUUGGCGAAUUCCUCCUCCUGGAGCGGGAACAUCCAGCGGAUGAAGGAGAUGUGCUCCGCCAUGGUGAGCGACGCCCCGAGCUUCAUCCCCUGCGAGAUGAUCGCCUUAAACUCCACGCCCUGCGGCAGCAUCUCUCCAUUCUCGUCCACGAACCUCUUCCCGAAGACGAUCCUCGUGAUGUUGUUGAACGCCACCGCCGAGACGUAGUUCUUCACGGUCACCGCCGCGCCACCAUUGUUCUUCACGUCCUGGAAGAUGGACUUCACCAUAGCGCCCACUUCCUCCUCGCGGAUCCAUCGCAGGGACUCGAGUCUCUUGGGCGUGAAGAGCUCCAGCGUACACAGCUUCCUCACCUUCACGAAUCCAUCACCAUUGUCAGCGAAGAAGGAAGAAGGAAGAAAGAAAUUCUAGAGUUCUCACAACCCUUCUCACCUUGACAUAGUGGUCGCCAUAGUCGGCCCAGAUGAGAUCCUGGCCGUUCCUGGAGAACCUAGCAGCAGCGCGCGUGAGCGGCCGCGAUGCGAGCUCCUUGUCCUUCUCCUUGAGCACCUCCUUGGCGAGCUCGGCAUUGGAAAUUACCACAUUGAGAUUCGUCCCCAUCCACACUGACAUGAUCGGCCCGUGCUUCUCCGCCCAGUCCAUGAAGCAUCGAAAUCUCACCGGCGACACGCGAUGGAGGCUCCCGAUGAUCGGCCAUGGCUUUGGCCCCGGCGGUAGCCGCGGCCUCGAGAGGAGCUUGAAUGUAAGGUAGACCAAGAACAAACCCACGGGAAUCGUCCAAGUCGAGUAGCGAUGGCCGUGAUCCGGCGGCACGAACUCCGUGUAGUGGUGAUGGUGGUGGUGAUACGCUUCCGCCGAGGGAUCCAUAGCCAGAGCUCUGCAGUGAAUCUAAAGCAAAGAGCGCAUAAACCCUAGAAGCUCGAUCUAACGGUCUUAAAAGGCCCACGUGGAUAGCGCUUGGCGUUAGGUGUGGAAUGGAAGGUAAAGGUCUUUUUAUAAAUUUAAAGCCUUGACUUUGGCGGGAAAAGAUAUUUUAGGGCAGCUUCAAUGCGUUGGAGGAGAUCAAGAACGCGGCACGCCGCUCGCGUCCCUUGAUUCUCUUCGCCGUGGAUCUCACAGGCAGCGAGCAGCGUCCUCCAUGCGACGGCGUCUUCUUUUCUUGUAAUCCGAGCGAGCUCCUCCGCUUCGUCGAGCCGCUUCACCCGGCCCAGGGUUUGGAGACGCUCUGGCAGCCGCUCCAGGUGGAAAUUCAUGGCCAUGGAGUCGGGAUCACUGCCGCGCAGUAGCAUCUCGCAAGAUAUUUCGAUAUCUCGCUCGCAGUCCCCGCUCUGCGCAAUCGCGGUGAUCAAGACGUUCCAUGACACGGAGUCCAGCUCUUGCGCCGAAUCGCUGUUCCUGGCGCUGUCGAGCAGGCCAUUGUGCGCGUAAGUGCUCGCCAUCGCAUUCCAGGUGAGAAUAUUUCGCUCUGGAAUCUGUGUGAAGCUCACGAUCGCUUCCUCUAUCAGGCCGUUCUGCCCGCACGCGACGAUCAUCAAGUUCCACGACAAGAGAUCCCUCCCAGGAAUUCUGUGGAUCACGGCUCUGACCUCUUCGAUCUACUGUCCCCGGUGAGCAAACGCCGAGAGCAGCCAGCUCCAAGACGCCAGAUCUCUGUGUCUCAUCGCAUCAAACUGGAGCUUGCCGUCCUCGACCGAUCCAGCUCGAGCAAAGGCUCUGAUUCUCAGAAACCAGGCUCAUCUGACAACGAUCUCGUGGGCGGCAUGGGCAUCGCAUCUCGAGUAGGCGGCAAUCAUCGCGUUCCAGGAUCUGGCGAAAGAAGAUUUUCUGGGUGUUCUUCACAUCGCCGCUCUCGGCAUAGGCCUGGAUCAUCGCGGUGAGCACGACGAGAUCGUGCUGCGGCAUCCUCUCCACAACCUCUCGGGCCAGCAGGCGCGAGUAGGAACUCACCAGCGCGGUCCAGGACACGGCAUCUCGCUGAGGAGCAGCGUCGAAGGUCUGUUUCGAUCGAUCAUCCUGGCUGCUAACCGAGAUCAUCGUGUUCCAGGACACUCGAUCCCACAUUGGCAUCGCCACGAAGAUCUCUCGCGCCUCGUUGCCAUCGCAAUCUCUAGCCGCGAGUAGCAACAGCGCGUUCCAAGAGAAUCCAUGUCUCUUGGGCAUGGCCAAGAACAAGCUCCUCCCCUCGCAAAGAUCCCCCCUCUGGGCAUAUGCCUGGAACAUCAAGUUCCACGUUACUAGGCUCUUACAGCACCAGAGAUUCCGGAAUACGUCCAGCUUGGCAGUACGCCCCAAAUGAUCCUUGUCCACGUGUUGGAAUCUCGCUGUGCAUUUAGAGCACAUUCCAAAUUCCCUGCCUGGGGAUAUGCGUGGAGGACGGUGUUCCAGGCGCAAGGCAUCUUCUCAAAAACUUCCAUGGCAUCCCCAAGAUUCCCAAGAGAUACAAUCUUGGCGGGGCAUAUUCUCCAGGAUUCUGGCAUAUGCCCAUAUGCCGCAACAGUGAUAUUCCGUGAUAUUCGAUAGUGUAGGAGACGUUCCUAGCGCCGUACAGUCUCCCGAGCUUACCGUACAUUUCAACGAGCGCGUUGGAGAGGAAUGUAUUGUCUCUGAGCUCUGGAGUGGAGAAAAUCUCCUCAUGAAUCGCCGAUGGAGAGGAGAAAUCUCUAGAUAUAUAUUUUUUAUUUUAAACAUUUACCUUGUUUACGUGCACGCAGUAAUAUUCCAACAAUAUUCCGACAGCCAGAUAAAUCAUACUUUUACUUGAAUGUCCACUUAGGGUUCUAGAAUAUUUUCAAACAAGAAGUAGAGAGAGAGAGGGACGAUGGAGCGCAAGAUUUCGAUCGCCGACACAAUUCUCAAGGACGAUCCCUCGAAUGCAAAGGCGAUCCUCUCAAAGGCAAACGCGCUCGCUGAGCUUGGAGAGUACCGGCUCGCCCUGGCCACUCUUGAUGAGGCGCCAUCGAUGGACCAGAUCCAAGAACUCCAGGCGGCCGCUCAAGAAUGGGACAGGCAGAGCACAGUCGGACGCUUCGAUCUAUCGGCCUAUAUUCUCAGCGGAUGCCAGGACGAUGUCAAGUUUGGGAAUUUCGUUGGUCCAGGGACGAUCGUGAGCGUGCCGGGCAAGGGUCGCGGCUUCAUUGCCACCGAGGACGUGGAGGCCGGCCAGAUUCUCCUCUGCGAGAACCCCAUCGUCUUCAGGUAUGUAGUUUCGAUCGAUUUUGCACCCGAUCCGGCCAAAGACUGAUUCUUUCUUUCUCCCGCCGAUCCGCGCGGCAGCUAUGGAUCGUUCGACAUGAACCAGCUCAAGGCGUCGCUCCAGGAGGCGGCAAAAUCUCCCAAAUUGAUGACGAAGCUCAUGGCUAUGGAGGGCACCACGAUCCCAGCGAUGGCUAUCUUCACGCCCAACUCAGGUGUGGUGGAUCUUGGCAGCGCCAAGCCGAUCGCACUCCAGCGGCUUAUGAAGAUCGUAGUCGACAAGAUCACCUGGGGACAUCUCUACUGCGCGCGCAACGGGAUGCUUCGUCCACAGGCAUUCUAUGGCCUCUGGCCGGUGCUCGCCUUCGUCAACCAUUCGUGCUCCUACAAUGCCUCGAUCGCCUUGGUUGGCCAGGCAAUGUUCCUCGUCGCCAGCACCAGGAUCCGGCGUGGGGAGGAGAUCGUCUUCUCGUACGUUGAUCCGUGCCAGCCAUACUUCAAUCGCCACAAUGUGCUCGGCUUCCAGUGUAGCUGCCGCCGCUGCUUGCUAGAGCUCCAGCGCCCCGCCAUCACCAAGCUCAAGGCUAAGUUCACACAAGCCUGCCAACACUACGAGUCUGGAGAACGCAGCACUCUUGCGGCCAUGGCCAACGACGCCAAGAAGUUGGCGAGAAAGGAGGGAGAUAAGCUCGCCAAGGCAUGGAUUCGCACCAUCUUCUGGGUGUGCUACCGCGUCAACCUCGGCCAGGAAAAGGCUGCCAUCUCCUUCGAUGAUGCCUGGGAGCUCCACCGGGAAUGCACUCCCGGCCAACUCGGCCAGCUCUCUUUCAUCGUCAAGCGUCAACGCCGCGCCUGUGAGCCGAUCAACAAGUUUGAUGUUCUGAGAGCCUUCUCUCUAGGAUUCCCGAUCGUAGCUGUCGAGGACGAGGCUGUGGCUGCAGCCAUCCUUAACUUAGUUCCCGCAUAACGGUAUGAUUUCAUCUGUUUUACAUUUGUUUCAUACAGCUCUUGACAAUUCUCCCAUUUGUUUCAUACAGCUCUUGACAACUCUCCCAUCUUUAGAACACUACCGCUAAUGGUAUGGUAUGAGUUUUUCUUUUUAUUCUUGUUUCGUUCAGCUCUAACAGUUAUCGCAUUUUUAGGAUGAAAAAAUGUGAGCAGCGUGCUCCUCGGCUAUGAGCAUCGCUUUGCUGAUUCCAUCAACGUUGCUGCCCUGAAACAAUAUGGACAUGUAAACAAGACGAGAAACUAAUACAAGGAAGGAGCUUACUUGUCCCUGAGCAAACAUGGACUUGCCACCACCGUUCCCAUUCAAUGGCUCCAAAGCCUUUCUCAGCCACUCGACAGCACCGACUCCAUUCCCCGCCACGAAACUUGGGACUCCAGCGCAGACCAGCACCUUUCCCGCCACUGAAUCGACACUGAAGAUCAUCGUCGCAACGCUCUGAAAAUUAACACACCGCGGCAAGAAGUCAUGAUUGGUGAUCGAUCGAAAACACAGCCUUACUCUCUCGGUGCCUGCUGCAACACCUUCCCGGAGAGCAGUCGUGUCGAGGCCAACGUCGACUCUUAGAACAGACCAUUUGAGGCCCCGCAAAACUGCCUGACCCACACAGCAAACUGUCGUCUCCAUUGUUCUCUGCAGAUUCAAGUCCAGAGCCACCUUCUUUUGGAGCUUGACACGUUGCUUACAUGUGAAAGAAACAUGCCGAUGAGAUAUCAAAAACUCGAUGCGCGAAAACUCUAGUACCUGGAGCUCGCUAAGUUGCUGCUGCAAAUAGACCUUCCGAACUAGUGGAAUUUGCGAGAAGUUUUUAAGUGCAGCGAGUUCCUGUUUGUUUACAAUCCAAAGACUUUAAUAUGAAUCACAACGCAAAUUCCAACUUGCCUUUUCUAGCUCUGUGAGUUCCAGCGAGUAGGCGUUGGACACACGCGCAGAGAGUUCUUCCGCACGCUGGAUAGCCUCCUUUGCGAGGUUCCCAGUCACCGCAACCAAUCGCCUCGUACCCUUGGCGACUCCCUCUUCCGAGACAAUAGCAAAUGCCUCGGCCUGUCUAGUGUUCGAGAGGUGCGUUCCUGAUAGUCGAAUUUAGCGAGCUUUUUCGUUGCUAAACGAUAUCAACUUACCUCCGCACAGCUCCACUGAAUGGGUCAUGCAAGAUGGAUCAUUAAGUAGCUUGGAGACUGGCUCGCCGAUGGCCACAACCCGAACGGGAUCAGGAUAGAUCUGGCGACAAAAGUUUCUUAUAUAGAGAUGACUUUGAGGAUUCAUAGAUACCUCGCCAACAACAGUCCGGAGUCCCUGUAUCUUUCUUGCCUUCUCAAGGCUUAUUUCGCUCGAAAACACCUCGCAGCCGUCACGCACGAGCACUGACACCAUGUCUUCUAUCUUUUUAAGCUCUUGGAUUUCAAUCCUUUGCCCUGUAAGGGAAACAGUCAAACCAUGAAUAUACAUAGAAAGCACGUAAAACAUAUUUAAAAUGGAUCAGUACCAUGGCUAAAGUCGAACCUCAGCUUGUCAUGGGACACCAAGGAACCUUUCUGCUCGACAUGAUCUCCGAGCACAGCCUGAUUAGCAACACAUCUGCAUCAAAAUCAAGAACAUUGGUUGCGAUACAUACUCUUAAUGCACUGCUCAAAAGAUGAGUGCUUGUAUGAUUUGGUGCUAUCAUCGACCGAAUAGAGUAGUCUACCUGCAAAAUUUCCAUUAGAAAAAGGCAAAAAGAAAGAAAAAAAAAGAAACCUUUGCAAAAACGAUGUCUCCAACAGACAAAGCCCCUCGAGGGACUCCAUAAUGCACAACAUAUCCACCAUAUGAUUGUACAUUGAGCACUUGGAACGAGAAAACACUAGAUUCUAUUGCCCCGACAUCGUAUAUCUGCAAGGCAACAAUGGAAUUUAAAUAUUGAAAGAAAAUUUAUAUAUCACCUGGCCUCCUUGCUCUGCAUAGAAGGUAGUGGACUUAAGUAUCAAACCGACGACUUUGCCAUCGUGGUUUGCUUCAAGGGUUUGUGUCAAGCCAUCGGCAGUAACAAUCGCUGCCACUGUGGUUUGAUGAUCGUCAUAACCUUGGUAUUUACCCCGGUCAUUGGUUGGACUUAUCCCGCACUUUUGAAGCUGGGCUAUCUCCCUAGAUUCCAGUGCGAAGACAUUCCCACGGGCCUGAUCCAUUAAAAUAGUUACAACUUCAGUAAAUCAUGUCAAUAUUACUUGCCUUGGAACGAGCAGUGCGAGCUUUUUGCUUUGCAUUUUCCAAUUCGUGAUGAAAGCCAUGCACGUCCACAUGGAAUCCAUAUUGCUCUUGAGCCAUGAGCUGCAGGCACGUAAACUCAAUAAGUAAUUACUCGAACAAGACGAUUUCGACAAACCUGUGUAAGAUCGAGAGGAAAACCAUAAGUGUCCCAGAGCAAAAAUGCUUCCUGCCCACUAAACAUGCUAUUGUUUACAUCAGCAGCUGCUUUAUGAAAUCGUUCAACACCCUGCCACAUACAAACGAAGAAAAAAAAAAGAUAAACACAUUACAUCCACACUGUCGGCAUUACCUUUGCUAACGUUCUCGAGAAACAAGCUUCUUCCUCUGCAAGAACUCUCUUGACACGAUCACUCGCCGUUCUCAGCUCUGGAUACGCAUCACCCAUAGUUUCUACAACAGCAUCGACCAAGCUGAAACGAAAUAGUUCAAAACACCUCACAGAUUUUUCAAGUGAAAUACCCGCUGAAGAAACCAUCUCCACCUUUCAUGAUGUCAAUGCCAUAUCGAAUUGCCCGUCUGAGAAUACGCCUCAACACAUGACCAGGCCCUUCAUUACCUGUUCAAGCCACUAAAUUCGCUUAGGGAAAAAAAAAAAAAAAAACUUUUAAAAGACCUGGUUGACAGCCAUCAGCAAUAGCAAACGUAAGUGUUCGUACAUGAUCAGCUAUUACUCGGUAAGCAGUGUCAAUGAGAUCAGUAUCAUCCUUUCCCAUUUUACCGGAGUAUGGCCGUGCACCUGUGGCCUGUAUUGCCAUUCGUUAAAGAAAAAGCUUUACGAGGCACAACAUACCUUUUGGAUUGCUUCAAACAGCGGAAGAAACAAAUCAGUGUCGUAGUUGCUUGAUUUGUUUUGAAGCACGGACACGAGACGCUCAAGGCCCAUUCCCGUGUCGAUACUUUGCGUUGGAAGGGGCGUGAGCUUGCCAUCGGUUUCUCUGUUGAACUGCAUUGGAGAUGAAGAUAGUUAGCUUCAGUGUUGUAAGAGAAACCAUAGUCACACCUGUAUGAACACCAAGUUCCAGAUCUCAAUGCACAUAGGAUCGUCACUAUUCACGAGAGAAGCUGCAUCGCGAUCUCCGAUCCUAUCGAAGUGAAUUUCACUGCAGGGACCGCAAGGCCCAACUUCACCCAUCUCCCAAAAAUUAUCCUACAGAGGAGCAAAGUAAAGAAAAAAAGGAAAACGCUUGAAAGAGUGCCUAAAGCUUACCUUGCAACCAAAGGGAAGAACACGGUCAUGAGGUAAAAACUUGAGCCAGAUAUCUCUGGCCUGGAGAUCCGAAGGGAGGCGUAGUUUUUCAUCACCGCCGAAGUAUGUGACAUAGAGGCGAUCUUGAGGCAGCUUGUAAACCUUGACAAACAGUUAUCAAACCAGAAAGGAGGGAAAAGAAAAUGCAAAGCUUACGAAACCAGGAUCGGAGGAGUUUUUACCUGCGUAAGAAGUUCCCAGGCCCAGUUGAUCACCUCCUCUUUGAAAUAGUCACCAAAGGACCAGCUUCCUAGCAUCUCAAAGAAGGUGUGGUGGUAGCUAUCCUUUCCAACGUCGUCCAGAUCGUUGUGCUUGCCUCCAGCGCGAAUGCACUUCUGGCUGUUACACGCACGCCGGAGCGCGCUCAUGGAGCCCCCAUUUCCCAGCAACAGUCGCUUGAAUUGGACAACACCUGGAUAGCAAACAAACAAGAGCGUGAGCGAUCCAGCCUUCGAAUCUCACCCGAGUUCGUGAAGAGGAGCGACGCAUCGUCCGGUGGAGGUAGGACGGGGCUGGAUCGAACGAACUUGUGAUCGCGACGCUCAAAGAAGUCGACAAACGUGUCUCUCGCCUUGGUCCCGGACCACUCCAUGUUUGAUUUAGGGUUUAAGGGUUUUGCCUUUUAAAUGGCAAAACUUUAGGGCAGGCACUAUGCUUAGAAUAUUCUGCUAUCGCGAGAGAGAGAGAGAGAGAGAGAUGAUGCGGCUUCACGAGUUUGGAGCUUUUGGUCAUGGCAGAGUGUCAAUGAAUCUCUUUCAAAGUCCCUUUAUUGGGUGCCUCAUUCAUAUAGAUGCUUGAGAUAGGUGAUCCAAAUAUCUUCGGUUCGUGUUGGCUGGCUAUGUUAGUUAGCAGAAGAUUGCUUGGGUACGCUCAGCCUAGGGUUAUAACAGAGGUCUGCUCAACUAGCUGACUCAAUCCCUGUGCAGCCGAGCAGAAUGAGAGUGCCACGGUCUUAAUGCAGCCAACCCUUCACAUCUACAGGGACAUGAGAUUCUCCAAUCCUUCUUGGAUGUUCUCUGCCUAAUGCUAGUCUUGUUGAAGCUCUUUGUCCGCUGCUGCUGAAUGAAGCUCCAGCUUCAACUACUUACUUCAGCCAAUCUCAGAAUGUUUACUCGCCUCCAGGCUUCAUGGACAGCCUCACCAGCAGCAACACCCGAGGCCAAGCGGCAGAGAAUGCAGUGUGGACUCCCACAAGUUCUCUUCAAGGUAUAGAAUUUUUUUUAGCGAGAGACUUUUACACCAGACUUGAUAAACCGAUCACGAUGGAUGGUUGCUCUAUACGCUCAACAUUUUGAAAUACUGGUGAUGGCUGAGCAGUGACAGUGCUCAGCCAUAGCUAAACCAAUGCAAUGACAAACUUCUUUCUUUUUAUUUGGAUUGCUAGUAAUACUUUCGAGUUUUGAAAGUAAGUCACUUAGUUCAGUCUUCUUAUCUGAUGGAAAGUCCUCUACAGCUGUGUCAGAGCUGUUCUUAUAUCCAAUUUCACCUUAGAUUUGAACUUUCAUUUUACAGCAUAAUUGAAACCCACUCAUACUUACAAGAACUUUCCAUGGUUUGGACCAUGGAACCCGAACCAAAGAUGCAUAAAGCAUCUUCAUCCAUGAUAAGAACGAAAAAGUUACCCAUGAAUGGAAUGCUCUCAAAGUAAAAAGCUUGGAUGACCAUUGAUCCCAGCAAGUGGUGUCCAUCGAAUAUUUCUUCAUCUAGCUCAGGCAUUGGCUCAAUGGUUUUCAAAAGCCACUAGCUAUCCAGUUCCGCGCUACCUGGGGGAAUGGCGAACACAAUCUCGAACACCAUUUGAAUCACAGCACUCUUUGGUCAUUGCUACCUUGAAUGCACUGCUUGAGAUUGGCCAAAGCUUGUUCAGCCAUGUUUCUAAAGGACGGAUCCAUGUCCUUAUGGUGUAGGAAGCGAUCUCCAGUUCUUGCAUAGCCUACCAAUCUGACUGCAGCCUAGCCGAACAGUCACAAAACCCUAAAUCGCAGCCAGCAAGAAUUUACGUAUUUCCUUCAUGUUUUCGUCAAAAGAUUCUGUUAGAUUCCACAGAAUCAAUACAUAUAAUGUACACAAUGACCAUAUUAUCAUUGGUACAAAAAUCCCCUGGGUUUAACACGAGGAUCGUGCGCUUGGCGAAUUCCUCCUCCUGGAGCGGAAACAUCUAGCAAAUGAAGGUGCUCCACCAUGGUGAGGGACGCAUCGAGCUUCAUCCCCACCUUAAACUCCACACCCUGCGGCAGUAUUUCUCCAAGCUCGUCCACGAAUCUCUUCCUGAAGACGAUCCUGGUGAUGUUGUGAAAUGCCACUGCCGAGACAUAGUUCUUUGCGGUCACAGCCACGCCACCAUUGUUCUUCACGUCCUGGAAGAUCAAAUUUAACAUAGCAACCUCGCGGAUCCAUCGCAGGGACUCCGUGUCUCUUGGGCGUGAAGAGCUCCAGACUGCACAGCUUCCUCACCUUCACGAACCCAUCGCCAUUGUCAGAAGACCUCUUGCUCGUGGAUAGCGAGUGGCAUCUCUUUUGUAUUUUUUUUUAAUUUUAAAGGCCUGGCGGGAAGAUAUUUUAGGGCAGCUUCAAUGCGUUGGAGAGGAGAAUGUAAGGUGAUCCAUUCUCCGGCUCUAGAUCAAGAACGCGGCACGCCGCUCGCGUCCCUCGAUUCUCUUCCCCGUGGAUCUCACAGGCAGCGAGCAGCGUCCUCCAUGCGACCGCGUCUUCUUUUCUUGCAAUCCGAGCGAGCUCCUCCGCUUCGUCGAGCCGCUUCACCCGGCCCAGGGCAUCGAUCAGGCAGUGGAGAUGCUCUGGCAGCCGCUCCAGGUGGAAAUCCGUGGCCAUGGAGCUGAAGAGAUUGAUCGCGUCUUGGAUUUUCCCGGCAUGGCCACAUCCGGUGAGCAUCGCGAGGAUCGUCACGGCGUCGGGAUCACUGCCGCGCAGCAGCAUCUCGCGAAAUAUUUCGAUAUUUCGCUCACAGUCCCCGCUCUGCGCGAUCGCGGUGAUCAAGACGUUCCAUGACACGGAGUCCAGCUCCUGCGCCGAAUCGAUGAUGUUCCUGGCGCUGUCGAGCAGGCCAUUGUGCGCGUAAGCGCUCGCCAUCGCAUUCCAGGUGAGAAUAUUUCGCUCUGGAAUCUGUGUGAAGCUGACGAUUGCUUCCUCUACCAGGCCGUUUUGCCCGCACGCGACGAUCAUCAAGUUCCACGACAAUAGGUCUCUCCCAGGAAUUCUCUGAAUCACGGCUCUGGCCUCGUCGAUCGACUGUCCCCGCUGAGCAUACGCCGAGAGCAGCCAGCUCCAAGAUGCCAGAUCUCUGUGGCUCAUCGCAUCAAACUGGAGCUUGACGUCCUCGACCGAUCCAGCUCGCGCGAAGGCUCUCAACAUCAGAUUCUCGGAAACUAGGCUCCUCUGAGGCAUCGCUGCAAAGAUCUCGUGGGCGGCAUGGGCAUCGCACCUCGAGUAGGCGGCAAUCAUCGCGUUCCAGGACACCGCAUUCCUGUGUGGCAUCUGGCGAAAGAAGAUUUUCUGGGUGUUCUUCACAUCGCCGCUCUCGGCAUAGGCCUGGAUCAUCGCGGUGAGCACGACGAGAUCGUGCUGCGGCAUCCUCUCCACAACCUCUCGCGCCAGCAGCAGAUCCCAGCGCGAGCAGGAACUUACCAGCGCGGUCCAGGACACGGCAUCUCGCUGAGGAGCAGCGUCGAAGGUCUGUUUCGAUCGAUCAUCCUGGCUGCUAACCGAGAUCAUCGUGUUCCAGGACACUCGAUCCCACAUUGGCAUCGCCACAAAGAUCGCUCGCGCCUCGUCGCCAUCGCAAUCUCUCGCCGCCAGUAGCAACAGCGCGUUCCAAGAGAAACCAUCUCUUUCAGGCAUCGCCAAGAACAAGCUCCUCGCCUCGCAAAGAUCCCCGCUCUGGGCAUAUGCCUGGAGCAUCAAGUUCCACGUUACUAGGCACCUCUGGGGCAUCUUGUCCAACAGCACCAGAGAUUCCCGAAUACUUCCAGCUUGGCAGUACGCCCCAAUGGUCCUCGUCCACGUGUUGGCAUCUCGCUGUGGCAUCGACUCCAACACAUUUAGAGCACAUUCCAGAUUCCCUGCCUGGGAAUAUGCGUGGAGGACGGUGUUCCAGGCACGCAGGUCCCUGUAUGGCAUCUUCUCAAAAACUUCCAUGGCAUCCCCAAGAUUCCCAAGAGAUACAAAGCCCGCGAUGACGCUCGUCCACGCUACAACGUCUCGGUGGGGCAUAUUCUCAAAGAGUCUAAAGGAUUCCGGCAUAUGCCCAUUCUGGGCAUAUGCCGCGACCGCAAUAUUCCACGAGUGUAGGUUGGGGCAGGGGAUGGAAUCGAAGACGUUCCUGGCCUCGUACAGUCUUCCGAGCUUGCCGUACAUUUCAACCAGUGCGUUGGAGAGGAAUGUGUUGUGUCUGAGCUCUGGAGAGGAGAGAAUCUCUUGGUGAAUCGCCGCUGCCUUGCGGUGGUCUUUGAGAGCGCCACACAGCUUUGCCGAGCUUGCCAAAGAGAGUAUCCUGCGGAGCUCUUCCCGCAUGGAAUUGAGAUGGAGAGGCAAACUUGCCUCAUUGCAGGAGAAAUCUCUAGCUCAAGUGUCUUUCUUUUUGCCUACGAAUGGCUUUUGCCGUUCUUUUCUACGUUGAUAGCGCUCUCGUCUGCAAUUCCACUGUCAAGUCCCUCACGCCAAUGUCAUUGUAGACGCUGUGGGCGUGUUUUAGAAUGGCUUGCUCGUCGCUGCCUUCUUUCACCUGUGGAUUCGACUUGAGACAUUCAAAGCUAGAAAGAAGGAUUUUUAGAAAUUCUUGCCUCGAGGAGAAGCGUCCCCACGACAAAGCCAGGGACGAGUUCCCAGAAACGAGCACGAUAACACUCUAGCACGCCUUCAAGUGAUCCCACCUGGGAAAAAAGUUAAGCUUAAGCUUAGUAGCUGGACGAGAGACUAUACUAUCACGUACUUGUCUCAGGCAUUUGCUAAAAGCCGAUGGAGAUAUCCCUGGAGGAGACAUUUGCAAGAGUAAUCCUCCAGAAGCGUUGAACAGAGGUAGAGCCAGGAAAAACACUGCUACCGAGACAAUGCCCAAGCAAAGAGUUUCUGCGUUUUUCACCCUGGAAAAGAGAAAAACAGAAGACUAUACACAACCGUUUACUUAUAGAUUCCACUUACCCAAGAGCCAAGAGCCAGGAUGCAAGGAUCACACCAGUGCUUCAAACAUAAGAAAGACAAAGCUUAGACAACUUUCGAGUUACGAGCGAUUUAAGCUUUCUUACCUUCGAAUAGAAUCAGAGAGUACGUGGAGACAGAUGGAGUGAUUGUUCAUGUCUUCCGCUUUCCUGUAAACUGAUCAUGCGCAAAAGUGUAAAACCGAAGCGCUCACUCGAUAGAGAGGUACGUUACCAAAACUUAUCCGCGCGUAGUUUCGGAAGAACCAUACUCCCAUGGCAUUCACGCACAGAUUUGCUACGGCUGACACGAUCAAGUAGUGCCUGAGAAAAAGAAAAAGGUGGACCUUGAUAGGACGGACAAAAGAGAGAACAAAGCCUUACUUAUGCUCGGACUCGUCUUGAACGAAAGCAUGCAACGCUUCCACGGCAAGAGAGAAUGCGAGAAAAAGCAAAAAAAGCUGCAAAACAUACGAGAAACAAGAGAUGAGCCGUGGAGAGAAAAGCAAAGAUAAACUGGAAUGCUUUUCUACAGUGUUUGUAAAGGCCGCUAGAACUUCCAAUCUCUUAUGCCUGCGUCGAGAAGGAAGAACACUAAAAUCCCACACAAGAGAAAAGAAAAAGCCGCGAAGCACUGACCCGUAAGUAUAAUCGUCGUCAGCUUUCCGCUUGGCCAUGACCAUCGCAAACAAGGAGAAAGUGAGCAUCCCACAGCCGAAAGUGAGAUGGAAAGCAUCCGACACAAGACCUGAAAGAGGAAAACAAAGAAAGAUUCAUCAUCUCAAACUCUUUUCUCUCUUUUCUAUGCUUACCAAUGCGACCAGUGAGCAAUCCAAUGAAGAGCUCCAGCGAGGAGUAGGCGACAUUGAGGAGGAUGAGAAGGAGCAGCCGCUUCGUCUGCCGGUUGCCAUAGCUGGUGAUCUUCUGCAUGAGCGUGAGAGCCUUGACGGCGCCCCUCACAUUCUUCCACUUGCUGCUCCUGGUCGUCCCCUGGAGAUCGCUCUUCCAUGACGACACAUUUCUAGAGAGGGCGGGACUAAACCUGGAGAGCGAGGGGGGAUUCUUCCAGCUCUCCCGACCGGACGCUGGCGAUGGUAGAUUAUCCAAAGGCGCGGCAGCAGCAGGAGGAUGGCGCUUGUUGCCCGGCGGCUGUGGGCUGAGAGGAACUGAAUCGAAGCGCACAGCGUCCGGCUCCUCCAUGCUAGUUUUAGGGCACGAAAAAUAUGAUUUAGCUCGCAUUUAGUAGCGUAGCAGGAUUUGCUGCUGUUUGUCAUUGGUGUCUGUUCUUCACCAAGAAAAGUGCGACUCUUACUAUCGAGCUAGUGAAAAGAUCUUUUUCUCUUCAUACCUGAGACCAUGAGCCUGCGAUCGGCACGGUUUCGUUCUUUGGAUUCCAGCCGAUUCCAGCCGAUGAGAAAACUCGUGAGUUUUCUCAUGCUAAACAGCGGCGACAGUUUUAUCCACUCUAAUGAGAAAGUAUCCAAAAUAUGCUUUCGAUAUUUCUUAUCACUGUGUUUUUCGCUUUUCAAAUUCCUGUAAUCCAAUCUAUCCUGGCAAAACAUACGAGAAACAUCUUAAAACAGUGUUUGUUUUUAUUUCAGAAAACUAAUUUACAUUUACAGAAUUCUAUAUGGUUUUUUUUCUGCUGGGAUCCCUUAUUUAUUUAUUUAUAGAGAAUUACAAAUUAAAAGUGUGAGGGCCAAGUGUACGGCUACGAUGCCGUAUGCUAAUAUUAGCAUAGUGUGAUUUUGGUAGCCGUCGGAUUGGUUUUAAUCUGGACCACUCGCUCCUGUAUAUAAACUAAGGUUUUUGGGCUAAUUAAUAGACACAUUUCUGUAUUCCUUUUUUAUAUUCCAUGCACUCACAAAAGCAAAUUAAUUAUUUGUAAAAAGACCUCCUCCCACUGUAAGAAGCUAGAAGGAGUAAGAAGCUAGAAGGAGUGAAAAGGAGGGUAUGAUUCACAAAUGUACGCAACAGACUCGUGAGUUUUCUCAUCUUAAACAGUGGCGACAGUUUUAUCCGCUCUAAUGAGGAAGUAUCCAAAAUACGCUUUCGAUAUUUCUUUUCACUGUGUUUUUCGCUUUUCAGAUUCCUGUAUCCAAUCUAUCCCAGCAAAACAUACGAGAAACAUCUUAGAACAGUGUUUGUAAGCUAGACACAACACUAAAAUCUCAAACAAGAAAGCACUGAAACGUAAGUAUAAUCGUGGCAAGCUUUUCUCUUCGCCAUGACCCAAGGAGAAAGCGAGCAUCCCACAGCCGAAAGCUAGAUGGAAAGCAUCCGACACAAGCCCUGGAAGAGAAAACAAACAAAAAACCAUAUCUCUUGUUUCUAUGCUCACCAAUACCUACAACCAGCAAUGAAGAGCUCUAGUGAGGAGUACGGAACAUUGAGGAGGAUGAGAAGGAGCAGCCGCUUCGUCAUAGCUCGUCUGGGACUAAACCUGGGGGGAUUCCCGACCCGUUGUCCGGCGGCUGUGGGCUGAGAGGAACUGGAUCGAAGCUGCUAGUUUUACGACACGAAGAACUAUGUUACUACAUUACGCCACUGCUUAAAUAGAUGCAAAAGACUUGCACCGCAAAACCAAGAACAAGAAGAGAAAAAGUAGAGAAAGAGAUAACUAUGCGAGAAAAAAAGAGGGGGAGAACUCCUGGAAUGACAACGCUCAGUAAGCAACGAGGAAAGAGAAAAACAAAUGGAUAGAACCAGGCUCAGUGCUUCUCUCGAGAUCCAGCUCGGGAAACGCAGGAUAAAAGCGAUGCCGCUGCUGGAGACACGGUCGGAAUUGCCUGCUGCUACAUUCUCGAAUUGCGAAUUGACUCUGAUCAGCCGUCCUCGUAAAUCAAUCGUCAACCUGACUCAACGUUUUGUUCCAUUGCCUCGAGAAUUCGUGCCCGGUGGCUCCUGUUCGGCCUCCUGCAAGUUGAAUUCAAAGAACUUACUUAUAGCACGUGAUGAACGGGCUUUCACCUUUCCUUCUUCUCUGAACUUCCAAAGAAGAAGCGAAGGCAAAAACGAGUUCAUCGCAAGUUGAGGUCUAUUGAGCGAAAAGUUUCCCUUCGAAAGAUCUCAGGGAUGAAAGUUCGCUGCCCAACUUACAUAGUUAUCUAAUAGGAAGCGAAUGUCCAUGCUUGAGAUCUUCACAGAAACUCCAAAA
rnacentral:lncRNA from 1 species